rnacentral:lncRNA from 1 species
GAGACCCGAGAUUGUGGUGGCCGCCUCCAAUGCCAAGCCUAUGGUACACCCCCUAACACCUUGGCCGAAUUCGCACUUAACCAAUUCAACAACAUGGACUUCUUCGAUAUAUCUUUGGUUGAUGGAUUUAAUGUGCCCAUGGCUCUUAAUUCUACUUCCAAUGGGUGCACCCGUGGCAUCCAAUGCAGCGCCGACAUAGUCGGACAGUGCCCUGAUGAGCUCCGAGCUCCCGGUGGUUGCAACAAUCCAUGCACUGUUUUCAGGACCGAUGAAUAUUGUUGUUAUUCUGGGAACUGUGGCCCUACAACUUACUCCAAGUUUUUCAAGGAUAGGUGUCCGGUGGCUUAUAGCAACCCUAAUGAUGAUCAAACAAGCACCUUUACAUGCCCUGGUGGUACUAACUAUGAUGUUAUCUUCUGCCCAUGAUGCCUCUACUAGUCCUGUUAGACGAUUUGGUACCAUCUUGGGAUCCAAAUGUCUAGAAGAAUAAAUUUGAGCACAUGUCCAUGUCCAUAGUCAUGUAAUAAGAUUUCUACCAUCAUAGAAAUCGAAUGAUUUUCAGAGGGGUUAGAAGCUUUGAAUAAUGUUUAAAUGUGCUUUACUUAUAAAAGUUUAGAACUAAUUCUUCAUAAAAAUAAUUUUGUCCAAGUGUUAUUGUUUAAGAGUUUAUUUGAUAUUGAAUUAUGAAAGUAUUUUGAAUUAUUUUAACAUUUAAAAAAUAAUUUUUCUUUAAAUAUUAAAAAAUUUAAAAAUGCUUCUUAUAAUUAUUAUCAAAUAAACUCUAAAUACUAUAUAUUAAAAACAUAAUUACUAGAAUGACCUCUAAAUGAAUUCAUAUUUUAAGUACACCGAGAAUGAUAGAAUUCAGUAAUGGUGUUUUAAAUUAAAUUGGUAAAUAUUUUGGGAUUUUCCAUUUGAAUAAUUUUUAGAAGUGAAUAAAUUAUUUUUCAGCUCUAACAUAAACAAAUCCUGUUAUUGUGGUGUGGAAAAACCUUUGCUCAAGAGUCAAGAGCGGUGGUGGAGGCUUGAGUUACGUACCCAAGUUGAAUUUUUGUAAAAGGAUGUGGAGGAGUAGAGUACAAGGAAAAUUGAUUUGCGGACAAGACCAGUUAGUUAGUGAAGCUUGAUUAAAGUCGAAGUUUUGGUGUUUUCUCCCAAGACUUCCUUUGUAGUGGUCCAAAAAAUUGGUAAGGAAAUAUGACAGACAUCGAAAGAGGAUUUGGCUAAAAGUCAAUAACUAUUUGGAGCUAUGUUCCCUUCUCGGGGCGAUGGCGUUUGCUAGUAAUCUUUGACUCGCUCUUCCCCGUAGCUUCCAUAGCAGUCCAAACCGGUUGCUUGUUCAAGGAAAACACCGUAUAAAUAAGAGGGAAGUGGCUAAAAGUCUAACUAAUUAAAAUCGUAGUCAUUUAUUGUGUGGAAUAGCGGGACACAUACGUAUUGAAGUUGAACUUGUCCAUCAAUUAAAUCUAAUACAAUUUUCUUUUUCAAUCCAACUAUUACGUAAUAAAUUUUAAAUUUCAAAUAUAUUUGCUUUUAAAAUUUACUCAAACCAAUUUAAUAACUUACAAAUAACUAAUUCAAUAACUUGGACUUCUUUAAUAUAGUAUUGUCCAAGCAUAUAUUUGAUAUGUCUUUAAUUUAUUUUUAAUUGUGCUUCUAAGCUACGUUUGGUUCUCGAAAAAUUUGAGAGAAAAUUUAAAAGAAAAAAAUUACAGAUGAAAAAAAAUAAAAAAUAGUUUAAAUAUAAUAAAUUAUAUUUGAUUUGAUUUUCUAUUUUUUUUUAUAGUGAAACAAAAUAUGAGAAAACCAUUUUUAUUAAUAUUUUUUUUCUUUAGAACACUUUCCAACAUAACUUACCAUUUAUUUUUUUGGUCAUGCAAAAGUUGAUGUAAAAAAUAUAGUUAGUCUCUCUUAUAUCAUUCAUUUGAAAUUGAGUAGAUUAAUGGUGUUUGUUUUUUUGGUUUUUUACUUAAAGCAAUUUAGUUUUAGAAUUUAGGUUGUUUGUUUUUCUACUUUUUCAUGACUUAUUAUAAACUUUUUACUAAAUAGAAAAAGUCAAAAUAUGUAGCUUUUUCUAAGUAGGAAAAAUAACAUAUUGAUUUUUUUUACUUUUUAAUACUUAAUAGAAAUAAAAUACUACAAAAACAAAUAACCUAAUAUUUAACACUAUUAAGCAUUAAGGUUCUAUUUAGAAUUAAGUAAAAAAACAAACAUCAUCUUCACACUAAGUAAUAACCCUAUAUUAGUCCUAAUAAGUAAUAAAAUUCCUCUACUAAUACAUGGUAUGGAUAAAAUAUUUACUAAAUUAACAACAUGAAUGUAAGUAAUUUAGAUAUUAGUAGGAUAUAUUUUUGUCUUAAUUAUUUAAAAAUAUAAACAUAUUUAUAUUAGGUUCUUGCUUUUUAUAAAUAUUAAUUCAACAUUUUUAGUAAUUUUUUUUUUAAAUUUAAUAAUUACAUAACCAAAAGUAAAAAAAAAAAAAAAUCAUUUUAUGAUGAUUUUUUGUCAAUUUUCAAUGAUUUCUUUCUAGUUCUUUGUUUUCAGUAGGUUAUUGAGUUAAUAAAGAAAUAAUGAAAUAUAAUGUGAUUGGGUUUUGGGUAUUUUUUUUUUUUAUAAUUUGUUUAAAAAAAAUUAGAUAAUAAAAAUAUCAUAUAUAUAUAUUUUGUUAUAAAAUUUUUAAAAGGAAAAAAAUUGUUGCUAAAUAUGAUUUUCAAAAACAUUUAUCACAAUUUUAAUUCAAAAAAUUGAAAAAUAAAAGUGUAAUGGAAGAUACUACUAAUGUAGUACAAGCAAUAAAUAUUUUUACCCUUAGUUGUGAAAAAUAUAGAGGAAAGAAAUUUUAUGAUGUCUGUUUCUAGAAGGUUGUAGGAAACCUGUUUGCCACGCCAGCCUAUUAAUAUUUUCUUCUUCGAAAAUUAAGAAAUUAUGGCAUUUUUUUAAAAAAAAAUUAUGCUUAAAAAUAGUUUUUUAUUUAGAAUAUAAAACUUAAAUUUAAAGAAAUUGAGAAUAUAUUCUAAAACUGAAUUAUCUUUUAGAAUAAAUUUAAGGGUUUUUUUUUAUUAUGUUCUAUUAAAUAAUAAUUAUUAAAAAUAUGAAAAUUAUUUUUUUUUAAAAAUAUAUUAUAUAUGUGUAUGUCAACUUUAAGAAAAAUAAAUAAAUAAAUAAAUAUAUAUAUAUAUAUAUAUAUAUAUAUUUUAUGUCUGAGAUUUUAAACAAAAUUUUAUUUAUAAAAAUAAUUAAAAAUUAUGUUUUGCCUAACAUGCCUAUGUUCUAGUCGUCUACGGAGUUGGUUCGGGAUGGCAGUGGAAAAUAUACUUUAGAUAUUUUCUCUUCUCUAUAGUCAGAUGCUUCUGCGUAUUUUAAAUGGUAAAGACCAAAACUCAAUUAUGAUAUUAUCGAAAAUAGACCCAGUCCAAAGUGGUCAUUCAUACUGGCAUAGUUCCAGGAAGGUGAUCAACAUCAGGGCUGUCUCAUUCAAGAAAGGAAAUUUGCACCCACGUUUUCUAGAUACAUUCCUACUGUUCUGAUGAUUCGGUAUGCACGAAUUUAUGCAAAGGUUAGGCAGAUUUCUGAAAAUAAUAAAAAUGGUAAUGAAGUGGACCCUUCUCUCUGUAAAAUAUUUUAAAUAAAAAAUACUUAUUUUUCUAAAAAUAAGUAUUUUCAAUAUGUAAUAUAUGUUUUAAAAAAAAAAAUUAAUUUACAAGCUUAUUUAUUUUUAUUUCUUAAAAAUAUUAUCGGCUUUUGUUGAUAAGAUUUGAGGAAAGAAAAAGGGCCACCUCACAUCGACUCUUCCAUGCCCGCAGGCCCCAACGAAGUCGACCACAAAGAUGACGCUAUCUUUUGGAAUUUUUACAGGGAGGUUUUUUCACAUACACACCAACCCAAGCCCACCUUCACCCUAUAAAAACCCCCACCCGGUUCCUCACAGAUCACCCCACUCCAACCAUCAAGCCUAUAUAUCUUCCGAAACUCAACAAUGGGCCUCUGCAAAAUCCUCUCCAUUUCCUCAUUCCUUCUCACCACCCUAUUCUUCACCUCCAGCUAUGCAGCUACGUUCAACAUCCAAAACCAUUGCUCCUACACGGUUUGGGCUGCGGCAGUCCCAGGCGGGGGCAUGCAGCUUGGCUCAGGCCAAUCCUGGAGCCUCAAUGUGAAUGCCGGCACCACUGGAGGCCGUGUUUGGGCCCGUACCAACUGCAACUUCGAUGCGUCAGGGAAUGGGAAGUGUGAGACCGGGGACUGUGGUGGCCUCCUCCAAUGCACGGCCUAUGGUACACCCCCUAACACCUUAGCCGAAUUCGCACUUAACCAAUACAGCAACUUGGACUUCUUUGAUAUAUCUUUGGUUGAUGGAUUUAAUGUUGCUAUGGCCUUUAAUCCUACUUCCAAUGGGUGCACCCGUGGCAUCAGUUGCACCGCCGACAUCGUGGGAGAGUGCCCCGCUGCGCUAAAGACUACCGGUGGUUGCAACAACCCAUGCACCGUUUUCAAGACCGAUGAAUAUUGUUGCAAUUCUGGGAGCUGUAAUGCUACAACUUACUCCGAGUUUUUCAAGACUAGGUGCCCUGAUGCUUAUAGCUACCCUAAGGACGAUCAGACAAGCACCUUCACAUGCCCUUCCGGGACCAAUUAUGAAGUUAUCUUCUGCCCAUAAAUCUAUUAUUUAAAUCAUAUGCUAGUAUGCCUCUACUGGUCUCAACUAUUAGGAGGCAAUGGUAUCCACCUUGGGUUCCAAAAGCCUAGAGGAAUAAAGUUGAGCCCAUAUUCGUGGUCAUGUAUUAAGAUUUCUACACUAGUCGAAGCAAUGGAUGCCUUUUUUUAUAUAGAUAUAUGCUAUCUUCUUCUUCUAAUCUCUGUGGUCCCUUCCAAGUAACAUUUCAUAUAGAUAUAUGAAUUUUAAUGAUUAUUCUUCUUCAGAAUUCUUUUUUUUUUUUUUUUUGAAAAUGAAAUUAAGCUUAACAUGAACAAAAUUCUGCUAUCAUGGUACGGAGAAAUCUUUGCUUGAGAGCGGUGGUUGAGGAUUGAGUCACCUACCCAAGUCAAAUUUUUGUAACAAUUAGAUGUUCAUCUUUAGAGUACUACAAGGAAAAUUGAUGUGAGGAUAAAGACCAGUUAACGAAGCUUGACUGACGUCAAAAUUUUAUUUUAUUUCCUUUUCUCUAAUCCUACCUUGUAGCGGUCCAAAUUAAUUGUCUUGACAAGGAAAUAUAACACAUAGCCAAGGAGGAUUUGCCUAAAAGCCAUCAUCCUGUUUGAAAACUACCUCCCUUAUUGUGCACAUGACACUUUUUCUAAGGGGAAUAAUCCAACCAUACAUUGGACCAAUAAAAUAAGUAUUUUUGGGAUUUUAUUUUUACCUUCACAAAUUGAGUGCGUAAAGUGCGGGGGAAAAAAACUCAUUCAUGCAUUUCAAUAACACUUGUGAAUUUAUUCCAAAAUUACAUUCAAAGUACACCUAUCAUUUUUUUUUACAUCAACUCUCUCACACCUCCAUUUCACCCGCCAUGUUCAUACGGUUUUUUUAUCUCUCACCAACAUAUUCAUAGUCUCAUGUAUUUUCUUAUAAAACAUCUUUAAUUUCAAUUUUUUUUUCACUCUCUAAUCUCUCCAUAUUUAUUGAUUUUAAUCAUUUUUUAGACACAUUAAACUUAAAAUGAUAAUAUAUAAUAAAUAAUUAAUAAUAAAAAAUUAAAUAAAAACAUAAUAUUUAAUGAACAAAAAUUAAAAUAUUAUCUCACAAAUAAUAUACUUGAUAAUUUUAAAUAUUAAUUAUAAUAAUGUUUAAGAUUUAAAUUUAAAAAUUAUGUUUUUAUUAUUUAGAGGCUUAUGAUAUAAUUUUUUUUAUAUUAAUACUAAAUAAAAGAUUUAUUGAUUUUGUAAAUCUUAUCAUACGUAAAAGUAAAAAAUAUCUUUGUAAUAUUAUUUUAUUAUUUUUAUUUUGAUAUAAAAUUUUUCAUUUGUAAUAUUAUUUUAUUAUUUUUAUUUUGAUAUAAAAUUUUUCAUAUCAAAAUCACAAUAAGUGAUAGUAGUUUUUUUUUUGUUAUGGUUUUAAUUGUGGUUUUAACUUUUUACUUGGUUAAAUUUUUUAAUUUUUUAUCAAGAUAAAAUAUAAAAGAAAAUAUGUUUUUUCAUAAAAAAAAAAUACAUUGUUUUAGGGAAAUUGAGAUACUUAUCUCUUUUAUCAUGAUGCAUAUACUCCUUUUGGAAUUCUCGGGAAGUGUUUUUAAAUUCUCUCCCACCUCGAAAAAGACUUUGAAACUUCAAGUAAGAAAAAUAAAUACAUCCUUUAAGAAAAAUGGAUUUUCUUUGAAUUGGUUGCCUCACAAUAUUUUAAAUGAUAAAGACUAAAAUUCAAUUAUGAUAUUAUCGAAAAUAGUCCCAAUCUAACGACUAGUCAAGAUAUUUGAAGUGGCCAAUCGUAUUGGAAGAAUUCCAGGAAGGUGCUCAACAGGGUUGUCUCAUUCAAAUAAGGAAAUUUGAAAUAAAUUUUCUCAAUACCAUGCACCCACGUUUUCUAGAUACAUUCCUACUGUUCUCAGAAUUGAGUGCUCAUGAAUUUACAUAGAAGUUAGGCAGAUUUCUGGAAAUAAUAAAAAUGAUAAUCACGUAGAACCUUGUCUCUGUAAAUUAUUUUAAAUAAAAAAUACUUAUUUUUCUAAAAAUAAGUAUUUUCAAAAUGUAAUAUAUGUUUUUUUUUUUUUUAAAUAAUAAUAAUUUACAAGCUUUUUUAUUUUUAUUUCUUAAAAAAAUUAUGGGCUUUUGUUGAUAAGAUUUGAGGAAAAACAAAAAGGGCCACACUACAUUGACUCUUCCAUGCCUACAGGCCACAACGAAGUCGACCACAAAGAUGACGCCAUCUUUUGGAAUUUUUACAGGACGGUUUUUCCACAUACACACCAACCCAAGCCCACCUUCACCCUAUAUAAACCCCCACCCAUUUCCUCACAGAUCACCCCACUCCAACCAUCAAGCCUAUCUUCCGAUCCUCAACAAUGGGCCUCUGCAAAAUCCUCUCCAUUUCCUCAUUCCUUCUCACCGCCCUAUUCUUCACCCCCAGCUAUGCAGCCACCUUCAACAUCCAAAACCAUUGCUCCUACACGGUUUGGGCUGCGGCAGUCCCAGGCGGGGGCAUGCAGCUUGGCUCAGGCCAAUCCUGGAGCCUCAAUGUGAAUGCCGGCACCACUGGAGGCCGUGUUUGGGCCCGUACCAACUGCAACUUCGAUGCAUCAGGGAAUGGGAAGUGUGAGACCGGGGACUGUGGUGGCCUCCUCCAAUGCACGGCCUAUGGUACACCCCCUAACACCUUAGCCGAAUUCGCACUUAACCAAUUCAGCAACUUGGACUUCUUUGAUAUAUCUUUGGUUGAUGGAUUUAAUGUGCCUAUGGCCUUUAAUCCUACUUCCAAUGGGUGCACCCGUGGCAUCAGUUGCACCGCCGACAUCGUGGGAGAGUGCCCCGCUGCGCUAAAGACUACCGGUGGUUGCAACAACCCAUGCACCGUUUUCAAGACCGAUGAAUAUUGUUGCAAUUCUGGGAGCUGUAGUGCUACAGAUUACUCAAGGUUUUUCAAGACUAGGUGCCCUGAUGCUUAUAGCUACCCUAAGGACGAUCAGACAAGCACCUUCACAUGCACUGCCGGUACCAAUUAUGAAGUUGUCUUCUGCCCAUAAAUCUAUUAUUUAAAUCAUAUGCUAGUAUGCCUCUACUAGUCUCAACUAUUAGGAGGCAAUGGUUUCCACCUUGGGUUCCAAAAGCCUAGAGGAAUAAAGUUGGGCACAUUUUCGUGGUCAUGUAACAAGAUUUCUACACUAGUAGAAGUAAUGGAUGUUUUUUUUUUUUAUAUAUAUAUAUAUAUAUAUAGAUUUAUGCGAUCUUCUUUCUUUCUAACCUCUAUGGUCCCGUCCAAGUAAUAUUUCAUAUAUAUUUUAUUCUAUAUAAUAUCUGCGGAUAAGAUCGGUUAAUGAAGCUUGACUAAAGUCAAAAUUUUAUUUUAUUUCAUUAUCCUACUUGGAAACUACCUUCCUUACUGGGUACAUGGCAUUUUUUUUUUAAUAAUAUUUGACUCAGGUUUCCGAGAAAACAUUGUAGCAGUCCAAACACGGCGUAAAUUGGGACUUUUCUCAAUAGUAGAGUAAUUUAAAAAAGUUAUUCUUCAAUUACUGUAGUGGAAGAAGUUAUUACAAAUAUAGGGUAGUUUUUGCCAGAUAGGAGAGAGGAGAGAGGAGAGAGGGUGAGAGAGAGGAGAGAGGAAAGAGGAGAUAGGAGAGAGGAGAGAGGAGAGAGGGUGAACGGGUAAAAUUUUUUAAAAAAGGGAACUCGUCUCUUGAAGAGACGAGUUCCAUGAAAAAAAAUAUAUAUAUAAUUUUUAAAAAAUUCUCAAAUUAAAAAAAAAAAAAUUGGAACUAAAGGCUUGACACGAGUUCCCAUGGGAAAAAUAUAUAUUAUUUAUUUAAAAUAUAUUUUUCAUUUAAAAAAAAUCCCAAAAAAAAUAAAAAAUAAAAUUUCUAAAAGGAACUCGUCUCUUUUUUAAAAAAAAUAUAUUUUUUAUUUUAAAAUCCCAAAUUUAAAAAAAAAAAACGCAAUUCCAAAAGGAACUCGUCUCUUUAAAAAUAUAUAUAUUUAAAAAAAAAAAUUCCUAAAGGGAACUCGUCUCUUGAAGAGACGAGUUCCCUUUAGGAAAAAAAAUAUUUUGUUUUUAAAAUAUAUUUUUUAUUUUAAAAAAUCCCAAAUAAAAAAAAAUAAAAAAUAAAAAACAAUUCCAAAGGGAACUCGUCUCUUCAAGAGACGAGUUCCCAUGUAAAAAAAAAUAUUUUUUUAAAAAAUAUAUAUAUUUAAAAAAAAAAAUUCAGAGUUACUUUAGGAAAAAAAAUAUUUUUUUUUUAAAAUAUAUUUUUUAUUUUAAAAAAUCCCAAAUUUAAAAAAAAAAAAACACAAUUCCAAAGGGAACUCGUCUCUUCAAGAGACGAGUUCCCAUGUAAAAAAAAUAUUUUUUUUAAAUAUAUAUAUUAAAAAAAAAAAAACAAUUCCUCAAAAUUCCUAAAGGAACUCGUCUNNNNNNNNNNNNNNNNNNNNNNNNNNNNNNNNNNNNNNNNNNNNNNNNNNNNNNNNNNNNNNNNNNNNNNNNNNNNNNNNNNNNNNNNNNNNNNNNNNNNAAAGGAACUCGUCUUUUGGAAGAGAACGAGUUCCCAUGUAAAAAAAAAAAAAAAUUUUAAAAAAAAUAUAUAUUUAAAAAAAUAAAAAUUCAGGGUUCCCUUUAGGAAAAAAAAUAAUUUUUUUUUAAAAAAAAUAUUUUUUUUUUUAAAAAAUCCCCAAUUAAAAAAAAAAAAAAAAAAAAAAAACCCAAUUCCAAAGGGAACUCGUCUCUUCAAGAGACGAGUUCCCUUGUAAAAAAAAUUAUUAUUUUUAAAUAUAUAUAUAUUAAAAAAAAAAAAAAAAAAAAACAAUUCCUCAAAAUUCCUAAAGGAACUCGUCUCUUCAAGAGACGAGUUCCCAUAUAAAAAAAAAAAUUAAAAAAAAAUAUAUAUUUAAAAAAAUAAAAAUUCAGAGUUCCCUUAGGAAAAAUAAUAAUUUUUUAAAAAAAUAUAUUUUUUAUUUUAAAAAAUCCCAAAUUAAAAAAAAAAAAAAAAAAAAAAAACACAAUUCCAAAGGGAACUCGUCUCUUAUUUUUUUUUUUUCCAUAGGAACUCGUCUCUUCAAUAGACGAGUUCCCUUGAUGAAUUGUUUUUUUUUUUUUUUUUUUUAAAUAUAUUUUUUUAAAAAAAAUUUGUUUUUACGUGGGAACUCAUCUUAAAGAGACGAGUUCCCUUGAGGAAUUGUUUUUUUAUUUUAUUUUAUAUUUUAUUUUAAUAUAUAUAUUUUAAAAUAAAAAAUAUUUUUAAGAGACGAGUUCCUUUGGAAUUGUGUUUUUUUUUUUUUUUUUUAAUUUGGGAUUUUUUAAAUUUUUUAAAAAAAUAAUUUUUUUUCCUAAAGGGAAUUCUGAAUUUUUAAUUUUUUAAAUAUAUAUAUUUAAAAAUUUUUUUUUUUUUAAAAAACAAAAAUUUUUUUUAAAAAAUAUAUAUAUUUAAAAAAAAAUUAUAUUUUUUNNNNNNNNNNNNNNNNNNNNNNNNNNNNNNNNNNNNNNNNNNNNNNNNNNNNNNNNNNNNNNNNNNNNNNNNNNNNNNNNNNNNNNNCGUCUCUUCAAGAGACGAGUUCCCUUUGGAAUUGUGUUUUUUUUUUUUUUUUUUCUUUUUUUUAAUUUGGGAUUUUUUAAAAUAAAAAAUAUUUUUUUUUUCCUAAAGGGAACUCUGAAUUUUUUUUUUAAAUAUAUAUAUAUUUUUUAAAAAAAUAUUUUUAAAAAAAAAAUAUUUUUUUUUGUUUUUUUUUUUUUAAUUUGGGAUUUUUUAAAAUAAAAAAUAUAUUUUAAAAAAAAAAUAUUUUUUUUCCUAAAGGGAACUCGUCUCUUCAAAAAACAAGUUACCUUUAGGAAUUUUUUUUUUAAAUAUAUAUAUUUUAAAAAAAAAAUAUUUUUUUUACAUGGGAACUCGUCUCUUCAAAAGACGAGUUCCUUUUGGAAUUGUGUUUUUUUUUUUUUUUUUUUUAAUUUAGGAUUUUUUAAAAUAAAAAAUAUAUUUUUAAAAAAAAUUAUUUUUUUUCCCAAGGAACUCGUCUCUUGAAGAGACGAGUUCCCUUUAGAAAUUUUUUUUUUUUUUUUUUGGAUUUUUUUAAAUAAAAAAUAUAUUUUAAAUAAAUAAUAUAUUUUUUUUCCCAGGGAACUCGUCUGAAGCCUUUAGUUCCAAAUUUUUUUUUUUAAUUUGAGAAUUUUUUAAAAAUUAUAUAUAUAUAUUUUUUCAUGGAACUCGUCUCUUCAAGAGACGAGUUCCCUUUUUUAAAAAAUUUUACCCGUUCAUCCUCUCUCCUCUCUCCUAUCUCCUCUUUCCUCUCUCCUCUCUCCUCUCUCUCACCCUCUCUCCUCUCUCCUCUCUCCUCUCUCCUAUGUGGCAAAAACUACCCUAUAUUUGUAAUAACUUCUUCCACUACAGUAAUUGAAGAAUAACUUUUUUAAAUUACUCUACUAUUGAGAAAAGUCCGCGUAAAUUGUCAUAGCCCUUUAUUGCAGAGAAUAGUGGAAAAGAAAGUUGUUAAAAGUGGCAUAAGUAAUUCAAACCAUAACCCUAUAUUGAGGAGAGUUAUGACUUAUGACACAUAAAUAUUGAAGUUCCACUUGUCUAUCAAUUAAAUAAAUAUAUGUUUUAAUUUAUUUUUGUAAAAAAAAUCAAUAAGAUUUUUAAUAUUUAUUUUACUAAUUUUAUUUAAAGAACUUAUGAUUUAAAAACGAGUUUAAUAUGAUUUAGAUAAGAAAUAUUUUAAUAUUUAAUAUAAAUUUUAUAAUACUAAUAUUACCUAUUAAAAAUUAAGAUUUUGGUUGCACCAUCAACAUUUAGUUAAAUCUAAAAAUAAAAAACUAUUUCAAACAAAGCUUUAUUUAUUCAUCUAUCAUGCUAAUGGAGCCUCAGAAGUUAAAAAGAUUAACUGGGCCAUGGUUAUAGAAGCCCAAAAGAUUUAUUGAUGGGGCGGAGCAGGUGGGCCUGGCCUGCCAUGUGCAGCUGUAUUUUUUUGACUUGUCUUCAAGACAACAAGUCAACGCCUCCGUUCAAUGAAGCGGAUGUAUCGGAAAAACCCAAAAGCUUCAUUUUCCCCUCAAAACGCGUAAACCCCAAAAUGAGCUUCUUCUGCAACUGCAGCAACCUCUCUACUUCCUUCUGCCUCCUCAUCCUCCCGUUCUUCUUCACCUUCAUCCAUGCAACCACUUUCGAAAUCCAAAACAGCUGCCCCUACACCAUCUGGGCAGCCGCCGUACCCGGCGGCGGAAGGCAACUCGACCAAGGCCAGACCUGGAACCUUUCAGUGAGCUCCAACAUAACGGGCCGCAUCUGGGGCAGAACCAAGUGCAGCUUCGAUGAAGCCGGAAGGGGGAGCUGCGAGUCCGGUGGAUGUGGAGGCCUCCUUGAAUGCCAAGAAUAUGGUUCACCGCCCAACACCAUUGCCGAGUACACCCUAAACCAAUCCAACAAAACUGAUUUAUUCGAUGUUUCUCUGGUGGAUGGAUUCAACCUUCCAAUGGAGUUUAGCCCAACUUCUGAUGGGUGCAGAGGGGCCAAUUGUACAGGCGACAUUAACGGGCCGUGCCCAAAUGAGUUGAGGGACCCGGGUGGGUGUAACAACCCAUGUACCGUUUUCAAAAAUUCUCAGUACUGUUGCGAUUCCGGGAGCUGUGGCCCUACAACUUACUCCGAGUUUUUCAAGGAUAGGUGCCCAAAUGCAUACAGUUACCCUGAGGAUGAUUCAACCAGUUUGUUUACGUGCUCCACUGGCUCUAACUAUCGUGUAGUCUUCUGCCCUUGAAUUAUGGGUUGCUAUUAAUUGUUUGAAGUAUUUUCUGAAUUGCCGUGUAAUUUUAUGCUAUGAGGGUAUUUCUUCCUAAGUUUUGUUGGAUGAUCCGUUGAAAUAAAUACUCGAUAACUUCUGUAUUAUUUUAAAAAGUAAUGUAUCAAUAUGCCCAUUUUUAAAAGCUAUAGUGUUAUAAAUUUCAAACUCUUUAAAAUUUUGAGAGAUGAUACUAAGAACUAGCAUACUUUUGUAAAAGAAGUCAUAAAAGGAGAGUCAUCUAAAAAUUUUAAACUUUUAAAAUUUUUCACUAAAACCAAUGUCUCUCUCCGCUUGUUGACUCGUCUGGAAGUCAAGUCCAACGACCCCAUAGCCGUCAACCGAAACCGUUCAUGAAAAAUCUGAUCACCUUCCUCGCCAAAAUGCCAAAAUCCCAAGAUGACUUUCUUCAGCAGCUGCAACAACCUCUCCACUUCCUUCUUCCUCCUCAUCACCACUCUCUUCUUCACCUUCCUCCACGCUUCCGCGCUUCCACCUUCCACAUCCAAAACAACUGCCACUUCACCCUGUGGGCCGCGCACGGCCGUUCCCCGCGGCGGAACGCAACUCUGAUGGGUGGGCCAAAAAAUUCCCAAAUUAUUGGGAGUGGGCCUUUAUAAGUCCCAAAUUGCUAGGGGUGGGCCAAUGGGUAGUGAUGAUGUCAUAGUGCUCUAGCCCAAUUUUUUUUUAAAAUAAACAAAUAAAGGAUUGUAAUCAGUUUAAAAUGUUGAUAUACGGACAAAAAUUGAACAUUCAGACUAAUAAAAGUUAAUAAAUCCCAUACCAAUUGUUACUAAAUUUAAAAUCUAUUUAUCUAAUGAAAAAAUUUAGAGAAGUUAAAAAACUUUAACAAAAAUAGGUAUAAUUCCAAUAGAGAUUAUAUUUGACAAUUUUUCAUACUAGUUCAUGGACAGAUAAUGAAAGAAAAGUUGAAUCAUAUUUUGUUUAAUUUACUCUUCUUUUUUUUUAAUAUUUUUAAAAUUAUAUAUAUUUUUCAUUUCUCCGUAUUUUCCCUUUUUUCUCUAAAAAAAUAUGUGAAUAUAACUUUGUUCAUUUACAAUUAAUAAUGUCUUUUUCCGCUAGUUUUCUCCAAGUGAACGAUAAAUGUACUUGCAACAAAGUGUGUUCAAAUUAUUUUUUCGGGUAUUUUUUUUGAAGCUUAAGUUCAUUUUUAGAAGAAAUAGAUAAUAGUUUUAUUAUAAUAGAGUUGUAAUGUUUUAUGUAUUUUUUUAAUACUUUAAACGUCUGUAAUUGACCUUGAAAAUAACAGUUUUUGAGCUUAUAGUAAGACGUUUAUACUUGUGGAGGCAUCCGAUCUAAUGAUUUGAAAUAUUUAUUAUUUGCGCAGUGAAUAAAGACGUUGAUAGGAUAUCCUUUUAUCAUUUUAAUAUUUCGACGGAGAGAGGCUUUUAUCCAGAUGGAUGUAGGACCCACAGACUUCUCAUUAAUUUUUGAUAAUUAUUUUAUAUUUUAUUUUAUUUUUAAAAAAUUGUUUUCAAAUGACAUCGUCAAAUAGGCUGUUCGUAAUCAUCACUUCCAAUGCAACAUCUUUCGUUGAAUGGAAACUCAGAAAAUCUAAAGUAUCAUCGUAAAAUUCAUGAGGAAUAUGCCAGAAGAUGACCGUUUCAAACCUUUUAUAAUAUUAUUAUAUUUUCUGUAUUUUCUUUCCGCAAAUUUUCCUGAACUAAACACGAGUGAUAAACUACACCUUGAUUUGCGGGGAAAAUCCAUUGGCUAGAGAUUGACUGAAAGCCAAAACUUAGGCUUCGUUGCAAGACAUUUUGGCAGCCAACGACUCAGGCAAACACCGUAAAAGUCUAAAGAGACGCUGUCCGCCCAAACAAUCCACAAAUCUCUUAUCUUUUUAUCAUCUAAUACUCGGAUUCUAGAAAAGUCUACUGUAUCUCUUAGGUUAUAUUUAGUUUCGAAAAAUACAAAAGAAAGAAAAAAAAUAUUAAAAAAAAUAAUUUUUUCAUAUUCGAUUGUCUUAUAAAUUAUUUUAAAAAAAAUUAAAUAUGAUUAAAAUUAAUUAAAAAUUUAUGGAUUUUAAAAUUAUUUAAUCUUUAUAUUGAUGAGUUAAAAUAAAUAAAAAUAAUUUUUCAUCUUUUAACUCUAUUUUUUAUUUUUCUUCAUUUUUUUCUUUUAUUUUUUUUCUUUUUUUUCUUUUUCUUUUUUAUAUAUAUUUUCCCUUAAAUUUUAUGAGAACCACAUAUAAUCUUAAAAUUUUAAUAAUUUUAAUUUAUCAUUCUAAUCAUUCUAGAAAAUUUCAUCAUUAAAAAAUGUAAGAAAAAAAAAUUAGGGUGAAUAAAUUAUUUUUAUAUAUUAUUUUAAACUUAUUUUAUUUAUUUUAAAUUUUAAUAUAAAAAUUGUAUGAGCUUGUAAUUAAAUUUAUUUUAUUAAUUUUUUUUUAUAAUAUAGUCAAACAUAUAUAAAAAAAAAUCAAUUUUAUUAACAAUUUUUUUCUUUUCUUCAUUGAUUUGCUCCUGACGCCAUUUCAUCUAGAAUGGCAUAGAUAAUUUAAAGCAACAGUCAAAGGUCAUCCAAAAAAUUGAACAUGAUAGGUUGUUCAAAUGCAAGUUUACCGGUUCCCCGGAUUCUUCUAAGUUCUGGCAGCUUGACUUCACUUCCGCAUUCUGCAUUGGAGAUGUCACAGAUGUAUGGCCAUGAUUAAUGCCGUUCUCUUCAGUCAUUCCUAUGUGUGUGGACGCGUGAUGAAUUGGAAUCUAAGCAGGAAAGAUGCACGCUCCAUUCAAGUCACGUUUUCUCGUGGGAGGAUUGUCUUGAUUUUAUUAUGCGUGUAUUCUCCUGACUCUACCAUGGCCACUUGGCUUGCCAAGUCUAGAGUAAAGCCAUGAGUGGACAAUUCCAUUUCUUUCUUCAUCUUUUUCCACGGAAUCAAGUCCAACAAAAUGCUGAAAUUUCUAUUCGAAUUAACCCACUUCUCACGUAAUCUCCCAAACCAUUGCCACCAUUCAUCUAUAAAAACCCUACCAUACAUGCAUCUCCAAAACAUCAAUUAACCCAAACCCAUGUUAGUGCUCUGUCUUGGCUUGCCCUGUUUAAGAACAUUCUCUUUUAUAUAUAUUGUUAUACAACUUUCUACGUGAUAUGUUCUCAUUGGUUUAAUGUAUUACUAAAAAAUGUUCUUCAGGAUUUUGGAUGAGGUUGUGUUUGCAUUAACAUGAUCACUUUCAAAUUAUUUUUUGUAGGCAUGGUUCGUGCAGCUAUCAAGUACAAAUAGUUUGUGUAACUGGAUGUUGAUCGUCAUCUUCAUUGUGGUUACUUUUAAUAUCACUUUGUCUAAAUUAUUCUAAGACUAAACAUGAAAGUUCAAUAUCAUUUUGUUUAAAAUAGUAUAAGAAGGAACAUUGAAUAUGCAAAACAUUCAUACGAAGGACAAUCCGAUAGAUGCCUUAAUAAAAUCAAUUAACACUGAUAAAUUCAAUUAGUGCAAAUCCUCUUUUGAUUUCACAAUAACAUAAGCAACAUAUGAUAGGGUAAAACUUAGAAAUAUGAUUUCAAGUGAAAUAAUAUUAACGUUAAAGUCAUCUCACAUAAGAAAAAAAAAGAAAAAAAAAAGAGCUUCUUUAUGCUAUCUGAGGGGCAUCCAUCCUUGAUAUUCUUCAUCCUAAAAAAAACUUUUAUUUUUUUGCAAGUUUUUAUGUUAUCUCCUCUAAAUCGUAAAAAGAGAGGUUACAAUUUUGUAUUUAUAUGAUGAAUAUUUUUUAGUUUUGUUCUUUGGGUUUCCUUCAUAAUUAAAAGGGUUUAAUAUGUAAGUAUUUUUAAUUAUUUUAUUUAUUCUAUUACAUUAUUAUUUUAUUAUUCUAUUUUUAAAUUAUGGGAGCAUCAUUUCAAAACACUACCUUUAAAAAAAUAAAUAAAAAUAUAGUUUUUUAUAUUUGAGAUUUUAAACAAAAUUUUAUUUAUAAAAAUAAUUAAAAUUACGUUUUGCCUAACAUGCGUACGUUGUAGUCAUCCGCGGAGUUGGUUCGAGAGGACAUUGGAAAAUCACACAAAGUGAUCAUGUGCCUUUAAUUGGAAAAUAAACAGUGGAUUUUCUCUUCUCUAGAAUUGGUUGCUUCUCAGAUAAAGGUCAAAAUUCAAUUAUGAUAUUAUGGAAAAUAGUCCCAGUCGAACCAAUUUUCAAGGCAUUUGAAGUGGCCAUUCAUUCAAGAAAGGAAGUUUGAAAUAAAUUUUUCCAACGCAACGCGGCACGCACCCGGCCAUGUUUUCAAGAUGCCUUCCUACCUGUCCUCAGAAUUCAGUAUUCAUGAAUUUCCAUAAAAGUUAGACAGGUUUCUGAAAAUAAUAAAAAUGAUAAUGAUGUGGACCCCUUGAAAUAAAUUCAGUAUUCAUGAAUGGGCAAUUCUGGUUCUUUCAUCAUCUUUUUAUCUGUAAUCAAUCAUCCAAUCAAGUCCAACAAAAUGCUGAAAUUUCCAUUCGAAUUAACCCACUUCUCACGUAAUCUCCCAAACCAUAGCCACCCUUCAUCUAUAAAAACCCCACCAUACAUCCAUCUCCAAGACACCGCAUUAGCCCAAACCCAUAAGAAUUCUAAAUACUUCGAUUCUGAUCAUCUGAUUCAUUCAACAUCAAAAUGCGCUUCACCACCACCCUCCCAAUUCUCUUCCCUCUCCUCCUCAGCCUCCUCUUUACCUCCACCCAUGCAGCCACCUUCGACAUCCUCAACAAAUGCACCUACACCGUCUGGGCAGCCGCCUCCCCCGGUGGUGGACGGAGACUUGACUCCGGCCAGUCCUGGACAAUCACCGUCAACCCCGGCACCACCAAUGCUCGCAUCUGGGGCCGAACCUCAUGCACCUUCGACGCCAAUGGGCGUGGCAAAUGCGAAACUGGUGACUGCAAUGGCCUCCUCGAAUGCCAGGGCUACGGUUCUCCCCCAAACACCCUCGCUGAAUUCGCUCUAAACCAGCCCAAUAACCUCGACUACAUCGACAUCUCCCUUGUCGAUGGCUUCAACAUCCCCAUGGACUUCAGCGGCUGCCGCGGCAUCCAGUGCUCCGUUGACAUCAAUGGGCAAUGCCCCAGUGAGUUGAAGGCCCCCGGUGGAUGCAACAACCCGUGUACAGUGUUCAAGACCAAUGAGUAUUGUUGCACUGAUGGACCUGGAAGCUGUGGUCCGACCACAUACUCCAAAUUCUUCAAGGACAGGUGCCCAGAUGCUUAUAGCUACCCUCAGGAUGACAAAACCAGCUUGUUCACCUGUCCUUCUGGUACCAACUACAAGGUCACGUUUUGCCCUUGAAAGUUGGAACUCAUUUUCCUUCACUUUCUUGGUGAAUGAAAAGAGUACAAGACACCCAGGAAAGUUUUAGUUUUCAGCGUAGAGAAGAAUAAAUUUGUGCACGUAAUGAUAGUAUUGUGCGCAUGUGAUGUGAUAAUCAGUCUGUAAUGUGAUUCCAGUGAAAAAUAAAUGAAGAAGCCUACUUACUCAUUUUCACCUUGGAUGAAACUUGUCAACCUAUUUAACUUCUUUAACAAAAACAUAGUUUUUGGGUUCAACCUCCAUAAUACAAAACCCUUCAUUAUUUUUUGGCCUCAUUCAUUUAUUUAUUUAUUUAUAAAAAUAACUCUUUCUUUUAAAACACACAUAUAAAUACUUGAAAUAGUUAAGGACAUUUAUGUUAAAAAUUGAUUACUCUUCAAACAAAAACAUGGAAGAGGUUAAAUUCAUAAAUAUGAAGACUAUUUCAUCCCUUUUAACUAAUUAAUUCUUAAAUGAAUUACAUAAUAUAUUACUUGUUUAAUAAUUUGAUAAUAUUUGAAUUUAUAUUUUUAAUACGAUUAUUAUUUGUAUCAGAUUUAGAUUAACUUAUAUAAUAGAAAGCUUAGGCUUUAACACUAUACUAAUAUAACCAUCUUACACAAAUUGCCACCCCAUUUGUUGUUGGGACUGGUUGGAGGAACACACCUAACCCAGCCCACCAAAUUUGCAACUGGAUGGCUUGAAAUUUAGGCCCAUGAUGUCGGCCCAAUUUAUAUUAAUGAGCCCAAACCCAUCAGCAUACACUUUAUGAAGGACAUGAAAUCCAAAUAGGCUGAUAUGAAACGAACCCCUAUAAAGAAAAAGCCAGCAAAUCCCAAACUGAAAUUCAGAAUUGAAUAUGUGAGAAUCUUUCAAUUUCCAACAACACCCGACAGCGGCCCAUACUGAUAUAGGCUGUCUUCAAGCAGAAUAUUUUUUUUUUUACUACUAGAUCUGAAACAAGUAGUGGAAGCCCGAACAGGCCCAAUAGAUUCCUUCGACACCCGACAAUAAUCUACGAAUCAAACAGGUUUCUAAUUUGAGUACAGAUCUAAUAAACUAAUUAAUAAUUCUUUUUUCUUUUCUGUAAAAUAAAAAAGGACUUUUGAGCUUGAAUUUUUUUUCAGAUUAAAUCUAAGCGGUCAAUAAUAUUUCAAAGAAAUGUUUUUUUUAAUAAUAAAGAUUAAUUUACUAGUUUAGGGAUAGUAAAUAAACUAUAUUUAUUGAAGCCCGAUCCAAGCUUCAGUGACAAGGGUGAUAAAACAAUACUUUUAUAAAUCUAGAGAGUAAUCAUGAAUACCUCUAAAAUCAUAAUAAAAUCAAUUUAAAAUUAUUAUUUAGAUUUUAUAUUUUAAAAAAGAGUUAAAUUUCUUAUAAAUUAAUAAAGCUUAGUUUCAAGGACAAGUGUUAGGAGACCAUGUGUGAUAAAAAUAAAAAUAAAAACCCCAAAUGGGAAUAAGAUUUUUAAUAUUUUUUAAAUGUUCUCAUAAAAUUAUUAUGAAAAUCGUAAUUAUUGGAUCUUUGAUAGUCGUAUUUGAGAGGCUAAAUUAAAUCUUUUAUAAUAUUCAAUUAUUAUUGUUUGAAUGAUUUAUCCAUUUUAUUUAAAAGUAGUAUAUUGUUACACCCUAAUAAUAAUUAUAAAAAUUAUUUAAUAUUUUUAAUAAUUAAGAAAUUAUUUUCAAUUUUAUAAUAAUUUGUGAAGUUUUAAUUGAAAAAAAACAUUUUUAAUUAGAUUUAUCCGAUUUGAAAGUAAAUUUUAAGAGAAUUUCUAAAUUUUGUAUUUGAAUCGGAAGUUAUUAAACUUCUCACCAAUUAACAUAAAUUUAAAAGUAAUUUUUUAACUAUCAUGUUUUAUAAAUCUUUGUGUAAAAGUUUUCCAAUCAAACUUUUUGACUUUAGACCUGCGUGGGAUUGAAAGAUGUCCCACACACACCACGCGGCAUCAAACUCCUUGAUAUUAAUCUUGAUCUUAUCCUCGCCAAAUAGGAGGCCAUGAUUCCAUAUUUCCAUUACACUCUGUCACGGACCACGGCCACCUUCCCAAAUCCCCAGAUCAACAAAAACCAGCACUCCAUGCCUCGGUACCUGGGCACAAAAAGUCAAAGUAGCCGCCUCCAUAAAAUAAGUGGGACACUGAUCGACACAUGGCAUCCUGGCCUGGACUGCAGAGCAGAGGAUCAUCCCCAAACUUUUAUCCUCACGAGGAGCCGCCUGUACUUUAAUGAGAAAAGUAGAGACGUGCCUUUAUUUGCACCAAGCCAAAACGCAGCGUUUCCUCUAUAUAAACCCCCUGGUGUCAUUGAUGAGGCACAAGCCAAAAUACACCACACCUGACAUCUAUACUCCGAUUGUCAGCUCCAAGCUUCCCAGUAUGAGCGACUUGCGCAUCCUCUUUAUCUUCUUCCUCUGCUUCAUCUCCUCCAUCCAUGCAGCCACCUUCCAAAUCACCAACCAGUGUUCUUACACCGUCUGGGCAGCUGCCUCUCCCGGUGGCGGCCGCCGCCUGGACCGCGGCCAAAGCUGGACCCUCAACGUGCCCGCUGGCACCAAAAUGGCCCGAAUCUGGGGUCGAACCAACUGCCACUUCGAUGCCAGUGGUCGUGGCCGGUGCGAUACCGGUGACUGUGGCGGCGUCCUGAACUGUCAAGGCUGGGGUUCUCCACCAAACACACUAGCAGAAUACGCCUUGAACCAGUUUGGUAACAAGGAUUUUUUCGAUAUAUCUCUCGUUGAUGGGUUCAACAUCCCUAUGGACUUCAGCCCCACCAGCCGCGGGUGCCGUGGAAUCAAGUGCACGGCGAAUAUCAACGGGCAAUGCCCGCAGGCGUUGAAAGCUCCGGGAGGGUGCAAUAACCCGUGUACCGUGUUCAAGACUCCGCAGUACUGCUGCAACAAUAUUAAAUGUGGACCGACAGAUUAUUCGAGAUUUUUCAAGACCAGGUGCCCAGAUGCGUACAGUUAUCCUCAGGAUGAUCCCACAAGCACAUUUACAUGCCCUGGUGGAACCAACUAUAGGGUUGUGUUCUGCCCUAGAGGCUCUUCCAACAAUAUUUUUCCUCUGGAGAUGUAUGGAAGUGAUAGUGAGGAGUAAAGGGUCUUCAAAAUCCGAGUGAAAUAAGGCAUGUAUGUGAGCCCUCCUCAAUUAUCUAUCAGUACUAGUAGGUUGUCCAGCAUAAUGUUACAGUUCUAUGAACUUGUAGCUUUCUUUUCAUCUGUAGCUUUCAUGAUCUCCAUGAGAUGGAAGGUGAAAAGACAAUAACGGAAAAUUAGUCGUACAUCCUGUUUAGUGUCGUGUUUGUUUGUCUUGAAUGAAAAUAGGCGAUGUGGGAUAACGUUGUUUGACUUAAUGAUUGCCUGGUUCACCUAUUUACAGGUGGACCAUUCCAGUAAGACGAGUUUGGCUGAAUAUUGAGGGCCCACAGAAAGAAAAUUUGGAAAAAUUAAGCUAUGUUUGGUUCUCAGAAAAUUUGAGGAAAAAUAUAAGGGAAAGAAAAUACAAAGAAAAAAUAGAAGAAAAGAAAAAGUGAAAAAAAAUAAAAAAUGGAUUAAAAGUUGAUAAGUUAUUUUUAUUUUUUACUUCAAACUCAUUUUAUUUAUUUUAACUCAUUAAUAUAAAGAUUAAAUAAUUUUAAACUAUAUAGGUUUUUAAUUAGUUUUAAUUAUAUUUGAUUUUAUUUUAUAUUUUUUAUAAGAUAAUCAAACAUGAAAAAAAAAAAAUUUUAUAUUUUUUUUCUUUUCUUAUUAUUUUUCGGUAACCAAAGAUAAACACGUUUACCAAACACAUGGAUUAAUUAAUGUUUUCUCAGUGCAACCUUUUGAAUUGAAAAAGUCUUCUUAUCCAUAUAUCUUUCCUCCACUACUUUUUUCUCAUCGGAUUCUGACAGCUCCACUUAGUCGCACAAAAAAUCGCAAAAUCCCUAUUAUGAAGCCCCAUACUAGGGAAUACCGUAUACCAUUUAUUGCACCUUGUGAUGAUCAUGUAAAACCAUGGAAUCUAGAACCCUGAACCCUGAACCCUGCCAUCUACACCAAUAUUUCACGAAAUCUAAUCAUCCUAUCAAGGAGUUUAGGACUGCAAAUUUGUAACCAUGGUGAGAUGUGGCCCAGUCCAACUUAAUUGAAUGGGCCGCAUUUGGGUCGCAGUCUCAUGCUUGAAGUUAAGGCCUCCUAGGGCCCAACUUAUACAUGGUAUCAACUAAUCCUCCUAUCUUUUAUUUAUUUAUUAUUUUUUUCUCCCAUAAAUUUAAAAAAAAAAUAGAAAAUCAUGUAUGGAUACACUUCUUAUUUUUCACUUUUAAAAUUAGAAAAUAAUAAAAACUUUUAUAUAAAAUAUAAUGGCCCUUACAUAAAAAUAUAAACAAACCUUGUCACCUUGAUUUUUUUUUUUAAUAUUUUUUAAAAUCAUUAUCUUUAUAGGAUAAGUCAAGAGCUCUUACAUUUUAUGUAAGGAUUAAUAUCAUUUUUUAUUUUAAAAAUAAAAAAUAAAAAGUGUAUAUGAUAUCAAGUAUCACAUUUCCUUAAUUAAGAUGUAUUCUUUAUAGAGACUUUCUUAUUUUAUUUAUAUUUCCUCCUUAUAUUUCUAUAUUAUGAUAUGUUUUUUUUUAAUUAUCAUUACUAUGUAUAUGUAUGUUUAAUAAUUAAACAAUUGGCUUUUUAUAUGAAAUAUUGUUAUAUAAUAAAAAAAAAUUAAUUCUUUCUCAUUAUUUUCUCUUAUUAGAAUAUUGGAUAGAUUACGAAAUCACUUAAUUUUCUUACAUUUUUUUGUCUUCUUUUUAUUUGAAUUUUUUUAUAAUUUUUAUAAAUAAGUGUUUUUCUUACUCCAUAGGUUCUAUUUACUAAUAUACAAAACUCCAAGUGUAAUCUAUGUCAACUUUAUCCGUUGGCAUGAUGUGUUGACUUUGACUUUUGAUUUCUUUUAAUGUAAUAAAAGUGUUCAUAGACUAAUCGUCCAAUAUUAUUAUUAUGUGAUUGAGGGGUGUCUUCAUAAUUUUAUAUUGCAAAGUGGAUGAAGCUAAAAGGGAAUUAUGUAAAUAUGCAUUAUUUAAAAAAUAUAAAUAAAAAGAGAAUCGAAUAAAAAAAUAUUUUUUAUAAAAAGUACAUUUUAAAAAAAAUAAUUCUUAUUUUAUGCAUUGGGAUGAUACCUGCCUCACGUUACCUAAACAUAUUUUUACAUGUAUUUUGGUCCUACAUAACAUUAUUUUAGAUUUAAAAUACAUUUAUUAAUAAAAUAAUAUAUCAUUGUGGACCCCGUAUUUCGGCUCAAUGCGUUUCCCACUCGAUGGCGAGCUCGAUUUUCAUUUUGAAAAAUGAUUUAAUUGGUUAAAAAAAAUGACUUGGAGUCGCCACUUAUUUUUGUUUUAUUUUUAAAAGGGUAAACAAAAUAAGAAAAAAAAAAAAAACCUAAGUGUGACUCCUUAUUUAGGGUGGUCUGUGAAAAACCGGAUCGAGUUCGGGGGUCAGGUUACUUAUCGAGAAGGUACGGUAGAGACCGUAGUACCCCUCUAAGUCUCUAAAGUCGGGUCUCUACUAAUAAAAUGAAACAAUCAUGGCAAUUGAUUAAUCGAGCAUGGAUACCAGAUAAAUAUUACUCAAAACAAAAUAAUUGAAUGAAUAGAAGAGACAAAGAAUGUACCUGAGUGAUGAACCGGUUUACUUCAAUGAAAGCGAAUGUUAGCAAUUAAACACAGAAUAAUCACAUGCAUGUCAUAGAGUGGAAUAAAUCAAUCACGCGUGACAAACAAAUCAAUAAAUAAAUCAAUCAAUCAUAAAAUCAUGUAUGUGAGGCCCCCACCAAAGCCCAAUCGAUCUUGCAUGAAUUAAUCUCACAAAUUCCAUUAUUCUGAAAUUAUGAAAAUGACAUUCACGCUUAUAUAAAAUCGAGAUAAAUAGAAGAUUAUUCGAAACCCGAAAAACAUUAAAACUGUUAAAGAGAAAACUGAAUUUUUGAAAUUUAUUUAAAAAUUGGAGUCUUGGGAAUUAAAUUUAAGGAUUGGAUUUUUAUGGAUUAAAUUCGAAAGAAAACAUAAUUUUGAAAAUUAUUUGGGAAGUAGAAACCAUGAAAGUUAAUUUAUAAAAAACAAAUUAUGAAAAUUGGGACUUUGGAAAUUAAAUUUUGAAAGAAAUUAGAAUUAAAAAUUAUUUAUCCUUAGGUCGCUGGUUCGCCAUUUUGUGGACCCCGCAUUUCGGCUCAUGCAUUUCCCACUCGAUGGCGAGCUCGAUUUUCAUUUUGAAAAAAAAUGAUUUUUAUUGAUUAAGAAAAAUGACUUGGAGUCGCCACUUAUUUUUGUUUUAUUUUUAAAAGGGUAAGCAAAAUAAGAAAGAAAAACCCCAUGAUCACUCCUUAUGCUUGUUCGGAUUCUCAUACGUGCAUGAUCAUUUAAGGUAUUCGUAGGUUCAUUCAUCAAUUGCCACGUCGGCUUUUUUAUUAGUAGAGACCCGACUUUAGGAACUUAGAGGGGUGCUACGGUCUUUACCAUACCUUCCUGAUAAGUAACCUGACCCCCGAACCCGAUCCGGUUUUUCGCAAAUCACCUUUUCCAAAUUAAGGAGUCACACCUAGGGUUUUUCUUUCUUAUUUUGUUUACCCUUUUAAAAAUAAAACAAAAAUAAGUGACGACUCUAAGUCAUUUUUCUUAAUCAAUAAAAAUCAUUUUUUUCAAAAUGAAAAUCGAGCUCGCCAUCGAGUGGGAAACGCAUGAGCCGAAAUACGGGGUCCACACUCAUCCUUAUGUGAAUUAUGUUGGUAUGAGUGACCAUCCUUAUACUUAUAAUUGUUUCGGUAAAAUGAAAAUUAUUAUUUUUAAAUUCACUUAAAAGAUAACUUUUUUGGGUUGUACUUUGAUCAUAUUUUGUAAAGAGAGCAUGUUUACCUAAAUCGCCUUUUGAAGUCGUUGGAUUAAAAUAUUCCUUAGCUUUAGCUCUCAGUCAUUAUUUUAUAAUUAGUAGCUAUCAUUUUCUCAUUUAAUAUUGAUUAAUCAUGACCUCAGUUUUUCAAAACACGUGCCACGUAACCAAGAAUUUAUGGAAGCAACCGCGUAUGAUGGGUCGGCUCAUUGAAGCAACCGCGUGACCGCGUCCAACGUUUUCGGAUUCGGAUCCGAACCAUAGUCCGGUUCGGUUCAAUUCACAGCGGGUUGACUUCCACUUUUUCAUACGUGCUAUAAAUCUUAUGUCAUGAUCAUCUUUCCCACACUUCAAACUUUUUCCAGGAAAACAGAUUCGGGGGAAGAAAAGGUUAGAAUUUUGGUUUGCAUUUGGAAUCUGUUGCAAUUCUCAAUCAGAAAAUGCCUCAAGGAACACUUGAAGUCCUUCUUGUCGGUGCCAAGGGUCUCGAGAACACUGAUUUUCUCUGUAAGUUUCUGCUGAAGUUUCACAGAUUUUCUCGUUUUCUUUCUUCUUCUACUGGUUCACGUUGAGAUUAAUGUCGAUGUAUGUGAAUUUAUGUUGGUUUUUGGUCUUAUGGAUGUGGUGCUUUUCAUAUUGUUGUAUGAUCUUCUGAUCAGGAUCUAGGUUUUGACUCUGAGAGAGAGUUUUUGGCACUAGGAUUUGAUCUGGGUCUCGUACACAGAGAUUUUAGCUUUUUGAGAACUGUUACUCUUUUAUCAUUUUUUUGAGGCAGGACCACGUUUGGCUGCUGAGAAAGCAGAGGAUGGAAGGGAAAACUUUUUUUCAAUUAAUGAAAAAUCCUUUUUUUUUUUUUUAAAGCGUUUCAUUCUUGUUCUCCAUUUCCCCACCAACCAAAUAGAUGGUUUUAAGUUCUUUUUUGUUCUUGUAAGCAGUAAGUCGGAUAGAGGUUCCAGAAAUCCCAUUAAUUCUUAGGGUCUUUGCAAUUUGAUUUGACUUUAAUGAUCUAUCUUCUAUAUCUUCAUGGAUGGUGGCUAUAGUUUUAACAGAUCUUGAUUUGUGCAAUAUUUAUUUCUCAGCUUAGUAUCAUUCUUAUUGGGAUCUAAGUUAUAAUUUUUUUUUUUUCAGUUUAAAUUCUGCUUCACACACUUCUUGUUGAAUUGGUGGUUUUUGAUCUUCUUCACAGAGACGCUGGAUUAAUAGUUCACAGUUAAGGUUAAUUUAGUAGGAUCAAUUUGGUUGGGUUUAGGUCAUACAAUUUUUGUUUUCAAUCAUAUCUAUCAAGAGAAUUAUUAAUUAAGGAAAAAGAAGUUUAUUAUCUCCUCGGAAAUUUAUUAUCAUCUCUGUUUGUAUUCUUGUCUUGCUUAGAUUUCUUUAAGUUAAAUAAGCUACAUUCAUACUUAAAAUAUGAGAUUUCCUUUGGAUAGUUGAGAAUUGACAAAGGCAAGUGUGUUUUUCUGAUAUAGAAAGUGGAUUUUGGUAAUAUUUGUUUCUGUUUUCAUCCUGUCCAUUCAUUUGAAUCAGUCUUAUCUGUCGAGUAUGAAAUUUUGGACUUAUACUGAAGCAAAUUGUUUCAAUUAAUUGCUCAUGUGUUCUUUAGGCCAUGAUCUCCAUCGCUAUUGUGUAUCUCUGUGUUUCCUGAUUGAUGGUAUUUAAUUCUUUUGGGCAGGUAACAUGGAUCCUUAUGUUGUUCUCACUUGCCGCACUCAGGAGCAGAAAAGCAGUGUUGCAUCAGGUGUGCUCUCUAAUCCAUUUGAUUUGUAAGCAGAAAAUAUGCAUAACAAAACAUAACAGAUCUGUACCAGUUCUAUAUUCACAUUGGAAACUGUGGAUGCAGGAAAAGGAUCUGACCCAGAAUGGAAUGAACAUUUCGUAUUCACCAUAUCUGAAGGCAUCUCAGAACUCACCAUUAAAAUAAUGGACAGUGAUAGUGGUAGUGGUGAUGAUUUUGUGGGAGAAGCAACGUGAGUACUAGUUCCUACCUAUGAAUAUUUCCAGCCAGCAAAGUUCAAUGUCCUAUUUUUCAUUUUGAUAAUGCUAAACUAAGGAUUUACACAGUCAGUUUCUGCCUUGUCUAGUACCACCAAUUCUAAUUCAGUGCUACUUCUGUUAACCAAACAUGGUUAGUGAAAAUAUGUAUUUUGAAGAUUCAGUUCUAGCUUCUAGGCAUUGACCAAAAACUUGUACAAAUACUGCUAAGAGAAAUCAGGAUGGCUUAUUUUAAUUCUCAUGUAAAACACAAUGGGACUGGUGAACCUGGUAAGUAUUUAUUUGUAGGUAGUGCCAAGGAAGGUUAAUUUGAUGCUUGCUUUGUUACCCUUGCAGCAUUCCACUAGAGGCACUCUUCACGGAAGGAAGCCUGGAGCCAGCACCGUACAAUGUUGUUAAAGACCAGGAAUAUUGUGGAGAGAUUAGAGUUGGCCUCACUUUCACUCAGAAGGUGAUUUUCUAUCUUUGUUAAUUUGCAUGAAUUCAUAUGCAUUAGCAGAGAAAAAGAAAUGUGAAACCCUCCUAAAAACUUGCCCUUCAUGACAAGGUAGCAGCAGCUCAAUGAGUUGCCCUUGAUUUGACAAAGCAGGCAUCAUUUCUAAAUCUCACUGUGACAUUCAUAAUCUCCACUAUGAUAUAUGGGAUGAGGCUUCUUCCUUUUUUCCCCCUUUGAUAGAGUUGAGAAGGCACUACAAAAGUGCUGCUGAACUGACAAUUUUUUACUUUCCUUGCCAUAGGGAGAAUGUGAUGGGGAGUCCUGUGCGCAGGAGGAAAACUAUGGCGGAUGGAAAGAGUCUUCUUAUUGAGUAUGAGGCAGUGCUUCUGAACUUGUGGUAUUAUGUGGUCUGAGGAUGGAAAUAAUUAGACCAUUUGGUUCAAUAUAUUUCUGAUGUUGAGACAUGUGGUUGAGGAAUUUCAGUUUGAUGUUAGUGUGUUGACUCAUGAAAUGUUCAUCUAGUUUCAUCUGUUACAAUCAAGUGUUCUCCCAUACUAGAAAUUUUGAAUUAAAUGGUAGUGUUAACAACAACAUAGUUUUGAUGGAUAAUCAAAUGGUGGUGAUCAGCUGUUUGCUGACAAGUGUGCCUAGCAGUAAAGAACUUGGUUAUAUUACUGAUUGGAAUAAUGGAAAGUACUGGCUUUGCUCAAAAUCAAAGCCUGAGUGGAGAAGUGGAAGAUUGAGGCUGAAACCAGCUUAUUUAGUCAAGUCUGUGGUAGUGGUAGGUUGUACACAGCUUGGGUCUUUGGGGCAUGAGUGCUGAGCAACAGCUCCUAACCCAACACUUCCACCAAAUAAAACAUAAGUUCAUACCUACGGCUUUGUUUGGAAUGGGGGAAAAAAUAGGAAUUUUUUUUUAAAAAAAAAUAGAUUUCUUUAAUUUUAAAAUAUAUGACUUUCCAAUUGAUUUUAAUUAUAUUAAUUUUUAAAGAUUAAUUGGUUGAUGGGAGUCUCAAUUGGUAGAGGUACCAAUCAACAACCAAAGACCUACUCCUUACCAUGGUCACUUCUAGUGGUCGAUUGUGUGGUUUGCCUAACGCUUACUUUAACUUGGAAUAAGCUUUUGGAAUUCUUUAUAAUGUGGUUAAUCAUUCAAAUCUUUUGAAAAGGAACUUUUAUUCAAUUGACUGAGUGCAUUCACACCUAAAUUUGCAUAAUCUAUUUUAGUGCCCAUUCAAAUCAGCUAUUCUGUGAAUUAUACUCUGGUUUAAGUUAGAGGUUGUAUUCUUGAGAGACUACAUUCUUAUACUUUGAGAGAAAGGGGAUUGAUUUAGUGUGAAAGGAUGCUUAGAUGCUUGUAAAGAUUUUUUGAAACUUUGAAUUCAAGUAUACAAAGAUUGAAUGGAUUUAGUUGAAAAACCUUUGUGAAAUAAACAUAGGCAAUUCUUGAACCAUAAAAAAAUCGGCCAAUACCCCAUGCACCUCUAGAAUUGUAUUAGCCUAGACUUUCAUAUUAGAUUUAGGCCUCUUAUUUAAGACUUUCUCCUUUCUGGUAAGUGUAAUUAGAAAAACAAAAGGAAAAGGCAAGUAAUUUGUUAACUUUCAACCCUUGGAGAGAGGACCACUGGAGGCUCAAUAUCAGCAUCAAUGACUGUUUCCAAAAUUAUCUCUCUUUCCCUUCUCUCUAUUCUUCAAAUGUCUCUCUGUUAUUUGAUACAACAGUACAUAAUAUGCUGAAAGGUUAUACAGACUGUAAAAUCUAAGCAGCAAAUGCAGUACAUGAAUUAGGCACAAACUUGUGGCCAUUUUCUAACUUUAGGAAUGAGAAGUAGAGGAUGUUCCUUCUGUAUAUUGGCACCAAACUUUUCCCUCAUGUCUAUCUCUUUAGGAUCACCCCAAUUCGGAAGAGACCAAUCAAAGAAAUGAAUCCAGGAAACCAGAACCGGGGGAAUCAGCUUUACAGCCAUGGGAAGUCCAGGGCAGAUUCUCCUUCCUGCGCCGAAGGGUAUGAAUUCAAAAUUAGUCCCUUGAAAAUCCACAAUUGAGUUCAGGAAGCGCUCUGGUUUGAAUACUAAAGGGUCUUCCCAACUCAUGGGGUCUCUUCCAAUGGCCCAGGCGUUUACCAGUACUUGAGCAUCUUUUGGAAUCGUAUAGUUCAUCACUUUGCAUGAUUCAAGUGCACGGUGAGGAAGGAGAAAUGGUCCAGGUGGAUGCAGCCUCAGGGUUUCCUUGAGGCAAGCUUGAAGGUACGGUAGCUUCCGUAGAUCGGAAUCUUUCAGUGUGCUUUUGUUGAUCUCUGUGGUGAGUUCUUCACGGAUUUUCUUCAUGGAGUCUGGACUUCUUAUCAACUCUGCCAUUGCCCACUCAGUGGUUACACUAGUAGAUUCUGUACCAGCAAUAAGUAGCUCCUGCCAAACAUCAUCUGAUCUGAGCUUGAAUAGAAAAUCGGAACCAAUUGGGCGACAAUUCCUUUUCAAGUUAAGCAACGAUUAAGUACAAAAUGAAAUGAUGUUAUAAUGAUUCAAUUAAUUUAAUUUCUUUGCCAAAAUCAAAUAACCACGAUCAUAGUCUCUUUACUUAUGAAGUGUUCCCACCACAUGAAUAACAUAAUUAACCUCUUACAGAAGAUUUAUUAUGGCAGUUCAAUUAUAUCUAUAAGUGCAAGAGUGGAGAGAGUCAGAGAGAGAGAGAGAGAUCAAACCCCAAGUAAAAAGUUAAUCCGAUCAUCUGUAAAACCAUCGUUGAUUAGAGCAUCGAGAAAAUCAUGUUGCCUAGUAGCAUGGCUCCCUUUUCUUUCUCUUCUUUCUUUAACGAUAGGCUGCCACAGACUAAACAACUCCACAAAGGAAUCCCUGGAUUUCUUCUGUAACCUCUGAAGAUCCAACCCACGUAGAAUUGGAUAAUAAUCAGCUAAAUUUGGAGUAGACAUCACGUCCACGGUUUUCUUGACACAUCCUAGCAUCCUCGCAACUGCAGUCUCAUCCUCCAAACUGACUAGAUCUUUUGAUAAUAGAGCAUUACUUAUCAUAUUCAGUGCAGUAACAAAGGCUAGUUCUUUAAGUUUCACCACCCUACCCUCCAUUGAGCUCAAGAAUCCAACCACCUCCAUCAGUUUUUUCUCUCGUAAACAUGCUUGUGACUCGAUGGCUUUGCCCGAGAAAAGUUGAGUUCGGCACAUUGUACGCAAGUACUUCCAUCUGUCAUCACACUCAAGCGACCAUACUAUUGAGUUAUUAUAGAAUUCUGAGCUCUUUUCUGGCAUCACUCCCGGAACAUAUCGGGCACAGAAAAUACGGUCAUAAGAGCUGAGAAUUUCUUUGGCGGCGGCCGCCGAUGAUCCCACGAUCAGAGUUUGAGUUCCGAGUCGUAGUGAGAAGAGCGGACCAUAGGAUCGUGCAAAGUCGGCCAUAGCUAUAUGACGCUGUUUCCCUAUCUGGUGAACGUUGCCUAUGAUUGGCCAUGGAUAUGGACCCGGUGGAAGUGAUAUUGGAGACUUUGAUUUGAGAUGCUUGAGGAUGAGAAAGAUGAGAGGCAGGAGAAGAAGGAUCAAAGGAAAGAGAUUGGUUCCUUCAGUUAAAGCUGCUUCAUCCAUUAAUUUGAUGAAACAAAGCUGGUUUUUGCCGUGCAAAAAUUGUUUGUGCAGGAGCCUUCUUAUAAUGGAAGAUGGAGUUAAAGGAGAAUUCAGCCAUUUACAAUCCUAUAAUAGAUUAUAGAUCUGUCGAAUUCAACUGGUCCACCCACUUUGAAUUGUAGUUGCGGAUAUUGCUGAUAAAAAUCCUUGUAAUGAAAGAGGGGCUAAUAAAGAAUCAAUCAUCCAGAUCUCCUGUCAAUGACGGUGUCAUUUGAAAAGGCCCCUCUUUGAUUUUUAGUGCUUGAAUGGAUUGAAAAUCAAUGCCAUUCGUUAACGUUUUGAAAUUAUUGCAUUUCUAUUAUACCUCAAAAUGAUAGUAAGAAGAUUUUUAUGCAAUGAUAGGGAUGACAACUAUAAUAAAAACCUCUCCUUCCUUCACUCAAGUAGUCUCUUCAAUCCUAUUGACUCUUAAGACUCACCAAUUACUUUAAAAUUUGGAGUAGGUUUUUUCAAAAUAAAUUUACGAAAAUGUCCACUAAAAAUAUAAAAAUCGAGUUCUACACUGAUCAGCAUUCAGAUAUCCUAUAAUUUCGAGAUAGGUCGACAUUUAAAUUUCACUUAUAAUUUUUGGUUUUUAAUUUUCUGAUAUUUCUAUAUAUCAUAGCCAUAACUGAAGUGUUGGAUUCAAUGCAAUGAUAGAACAGAAGAACCAACCUAAUCUAAUACAUAAACAAAUGGAUUUAAAGGCGAGGAACCAUUUUAUCUACUUUGAAACUGAUAAUUCUUUAGUGCAUUGUAUAAUAGGAUUGUCUGUAUUUGAUUGUAUAUGAAAUUGCAACUGGUUAAUAGAGUAUUGCUACUGUUGGUCCUGCUUUCCUGCUAUAAGGCCUUGAUAGUAUUUUAUCCCUCGUUUUCUCCCUGGGAUAUUUGGCUGCUUCAUAAGGAGACCAAUCACACACCAGGAAAAAAAAAAGGUCAUAUAUUGGUGGGUAAUGUGGGAUGAAUUAUACUUAGGGGAAUGUCUUGAUUUCCAUUUCUCCAAAGAGCGAUCUCUUAGCUAGGUAGUAAAAACCGAUUAAUCGAUAAUAUGGGAUUGUUGUUUGUUGCCUUGUCUGCUAUGAAGACUGCAUAUUGAACAAUUAAUCAUGGACAGGAACUGUUGGAAGAAGUAAGUUGGUUAAGCUUGGAUUUAUUAGUCUUACAUCAGUGGGUGUCUAGGAAAUUUGAGUACGGCCGGGAAAUAGUACUGGAAAGCCUCCUUUACUGUAGUUUUACCGUACAACAAUGGAGUGUAUUCAUUCUUAUACAACAAUUUUAUAUUCCUUCAUUGCUAUAGAUAUCUAUAACUCUCCAAUAUCAAUAGGUGUGGAGAAUGCAGAAAUCAGUUUCCAUCUGUCCCUUUCUUGACUCCAUGCUGUAGGUUUGGGCAGAGAAUGUUGUGUUUUAGAAAUGAUUCUCCCAAUUCUUUUCCAACAGAUUUCUGGGAAAAACAUAUCAAUGAUGUUGCUUGAAAAACAUAGGCAUGGUGUGCAAUUUGCUCUCUCUCCUGAAAAAGCAAAUCAAUAGUGUAGUAUAAGAAAAUAUAGUAUCACCAAGUUGGCCUUUGCUUUUGAUGAUUAUUUUUUGUCGAAGAAAAAGCAAAGGAAAACCAAGCCCUUCUAUAUUCCCUUGACAUGCAUAAACUGAAUCAUCCUGCACUUGAUUCAUGGAAAGAACAAAAGAUCACAUGGUAUGCGCAACUGUAACAAUCUCUUGGGCAUUUGCAAACUUAUUGGAAGAUUGAAAAACAAAAUAAAGAGGUUAGUAAGCAUAAUGUCACAGAGUUAGUUGUUUACUAAGCUCAUGCGGCACUUAGACAAGGCAAAACGCUUGAUCUUGCUAAGUCAGCCUUACUUCCAAUGCUUAGUUUGCUAGGCUAAGAUGUUUGCUACUCAAAAGUUGUAGAAGACGUAGUAGGCAACUCUUAAAGAAUGAAAGCUUUAUUGCUUUCAAAGGAAGCUAUACAAUACUUAGUAGCUCACUUGCUUGGUCAUGAAGUGAUUUGGGUGGUGCUUUGGCCAAAUGAAACCCUCACCUAUUUAUAGGCACCAAUAAAACUCUCUGAAACCUUGAAGGGUUCUUUACAUAUCAAGAAAAUUCUAGAAUACCCUACACAAUUCUAUGUGCAACCCUAUGUACAAGAAAUCUCUAGAAUUCUCUAGAAAGCCUUGGACUCCUCUCAUGCCUUCCACCAUAGUGUAGAGAUGUGUGGACAUUUCCAGGUAUCUCUAGAACUUUCCACACUCUUCCCUUCAAUGACUUAGUGUAGAUGGCUCCAGGAGUCUCCAAAAGCUUUCUAGGCUCUAUAUAAACCCAUGAGGAGGCUCAUUUGAAGCAUCCUGUGACAAUAAGCUAUUUCUCUUGAUUCUCUCAUUAAAUGCCUUAUGCUUCAUGAAAAUUGAGCAACUUAGUAUCUGGAUAGAAAUCAAUAAUAUUCCACUCGCUGCAAACAUGAGUAAGUGAAGGCCAUGUAGCUACAAACCAUAAUAGACUGAAAUGUGAUGCGAAACAUUACAUCUUUGCAACAGAUCACAAGUUACAUAGCCACACGCAGUACAAGAAGUUGGAAGAAACGUCUCUUGGUCAUUUUCUGCCUUUAGGAAUGAGAAGUAGAGGCUGUUCCUUCCGUAUAUUGGCACUAUACUUUUCACUCAUGUCUAUAUCUUUAGGAUCACCCCCAUUCGGAAGAGACCAAUCGAAGAAAUGAAUCCAGGAAGCCAGAACCAAGGGAAUCAGUUUUACCGCCAUGGGAAGUCCAGGGCAGAUUCUCCUUCGUGAACUAAAGGGUAUAAAUUCAAAAUUAUUCCCUUGAAAAUCCACAGUUGAGUUCAAGAAACGCUCUGGUUUGAAUACUAAAGGGUCUUCCCAACUCAUGGGGUCUCUUCCAAUGGCCCAGGCGUUUACUAGUACUUGAGCAUCUUUUGGAAUGGUAUAGUUCAUUACUUUGCAUGAUUCGACAGCGCGGUGAGGAAGGAGAAAAGGUCCAGGCGGGUGCAGCCUCAGGGUUUCCUUGAGGCAAGCUUGAAGGUAUGGUAGCUUCCGUAGAUCGGAAUCUUUCAGCAUGUUUUGGUUGAUCUCUGUGGUGAGUUCUUCACGGAUUUUCUUCAAGGAUUCUGGACUUCUUAUCAACUCUGCCAUUGCCCACUCAACGGUUACACUACUAGAGUCUGUACCAGCAACGAGUAGCUCCUGCCAAACAUCAUCAAACAUCUGGGUGAAGUCAAUAUGAUCUCAGCUUAAAUCGAAAAUGAAUUUAUAUGAAUAACACUGGAAACAAGUGGGGAGAUGAUUCUUUUCAUGUUGAAGAAAUAAUUAGUACAAAAUGAAAUGACGUCUACCAUAAUGAUAUAGCAUUGUUUACCAAAAUCAAAUGAUCAUCUUAACUAUAAAGUGUUAAUACCACAUGAAAAACAUAACUAACCUCUUCCACAAGUAAUUUAGUAUUGAAUAGUUCAAUCAUAUCUGUGUGUGCACAAGUGUGGAGAGAGAGAGAGGCAGAGAAUUCAAACCACAAGUAAAAUGUUGAUCUGAUCAUCUGUAAAACCAUCGCUUAUCAGAGUAUCAAGAAAAUCUUGUUGGCUAGUAGCAUGGCCGCCUUUUCUUUCUCUUCUUUCUUUAAUGAUAGGCUUCAGUAUACUACAAAACUUCACAAAGGAAAUGAUGGACCUCUUCUGCAGUCUUUGAAGAUCCAACCCUCUAAGAAUUGGAUAGUAGUCAGAUAAAUUUGGAGUAGACGUCACCUCCAAGAUCGUUUUGAAAAUUUCUCCCAUCAUUGCUAACGCUUUCUCAUCCUCGAAAGUAACAAGAUCUUUUGAUAAUAAAGCAUUACUUAUUAUAUCAAUGCAGCAACAAAGCCUACAUUUUUAAGUUUCACCACCUUACCCUCCAUUGAACUCAAAAACAUAACCACCUCCAUCAGCUUUUUCUCUCGCAAGCAUGCUUGUGACUCUAUUGCUUUGCCUGAGAAAAGUUGAGUUCGACACAUUGUGCGCAAAUACUUCCACCUGUCAUCACACUCGGGAGACCACCCUACUGCGAACCCGUUCAAACCAGUUAUUCUGCAUGGUAUCACUCGAGGAACACAUCGGGCACAUAAAAUGUGGUCAUAGGAGUUGAGAAUUUCUCUGGCAGCGGCAGCUGAUGAUCCCACGACCAAAGUUUGAGUUCCUAGUCUUAGCGAGAAGAGUGGAACAUACGAUCGUGCAAAGUCGAUCAUAGCAAUAUGGCGUUGUUUCCCUAUCUGGUGAACGUUGCCUAUGAGUGGCCAUGGAUAUGGACCCGGUGGAAGUGAUGGAGACUUUGCUUUGAGAUGCUUGAGGAUGAGAAAGAUGAGAGGCGGGAGAGGAAGGAUCGAAGGAAGGACACUGACUCCUUCGGUUAAAGCGGUUUGAGCCAUUGAUUUGAUCAUGAAACAAAGCUGGUUUUCGCCGUGCAAAAUUGGUCAGUGAAGAGGCCUUUUUAUGAGUGAAGAUGGGCCAGUGGAGAAUUCAGCCAUUUACAUCUCCUUUAAUAGGUACCGUAUUCAACCGGUCCACACUUUUUGGAUUCUAGUGCCGGGUAUUAGUGUAUUACUGAUAAUGAACCUUGUAAUAUAGAAGGGAGGCUAAUAAAGAUUAUUAGAUUAAAGACUACAAUAAUUUGGGUUUCCCCAUCAGUGAUGCUAUCAUUCAAUAGUGUCCUACUGUUUGUUUAUCCUACUUUUGUUGAUGGAAAAUCAAUUCAUCCACCGACUCUAACAAUGAGCGGAGAGGAGUGAUUCCAAAAGAAUGAAUGUGAUGCAUGUCAAAACCUUAUCAUGUCAUUGAGGUUUUGGUAAUAAGAUUUGAUUUCAAAAUUUUAUCAUGUCGUUAAGGUUUUGAUAAUGAGAUUUGAUUUUAUUUGGGUGAUAAUUUAUGUCGGUGGAUCAUGAUAGAUGAUUAUAAUGAAGCUUAUGGAAACCUUAAAAAGCUUGAAGACGAUAAAAAUUUAGAUAGGAGAAAAUGAAUUUACUCUCUAAAACCAAAUUAUACACUAACCAAUGGUGUAUUAAAGAGCCCCUUUAAUUAAUAGUGAAACCAAUAAUUUAAUGGAUAAUGCAUCAACUGAGGGAUCACCAUAAGAUAUUCUCAUUCUUUCUAAUUUGCAUUUACAUCAUGAUACUACUAAAAUGACAAGAAAGGUUAAAUAAUUAAAGUUUGGGAGAAUGUUGACUUUAUUUAAACAAAAGAAUUUUUUUAUGAACUCUAGCCUUUAGCCUUUAUGUCAAUAACACCAUAGGUAAAAUAGUCCGAAAAUAACGAUUUCAUGCAUAAAAAAUAAUCAAAAAAAAUGAGACUCUCAAUCCCUAUUUACGGAAAGCUUAUAAAAUUUUAAUUCUUUUUAAAUAAAUAUAUUAAAAUUAAAUUUUUUAAAUUUGGAUUUUAUUUUUUGAUUUUUUUAAAAAUUUGUAUAUAAAAAAUAAAUUUUUUUCCAAAAAUUAUUCUUUCAAUAGAUAAAUAGUAAUUAAACAAGAAUUCUAUAAUUAUCCUUAUCUGGAUGAUUGAUUUUUUAAUUUUUUUCAUGGGACAAGUUAUUUACGAAAGUGCACAUCUUUUUAGUAAAAAAUAAUCUCCUUUAACAUCCUUUUCUUUUUUUCAUUUUUUCUUUUUUUCAUUUUUCUCCCCCGGUUUAGAUAUUUUUGCAUCACUACAAUUUUUCUUCUAAAACCUCUCUAAUUUCUUUUUUUUUUUUAAUGUUCAUUGUAUAUAUUAUUAAUUUAUUAACUUAAAUAUUUUUUUUUAUUCAUUUAAUUUCCUUCUAUUUUAUUUCUCAAAUUUUCCUUUAAAAGAAAAUACUCUCAAACCUUUAUUUUGAUCAACCGUUGUCUUAAGUUCGUUAUUGUCAUGAUAGAAAUCAACAAUGUUUCAUUCUCUGCGAACGUCGAGUACGAGAAAGCCAUAUGCCUACGAACCAAAACAGGCUGAAAUGUGAUGCAAAACAUUACAUCUAUGCAACAGAUCACAAGUUACAUAGCCGCACCCGGUACAAGAAGUUGGAAGAAACGUCUCUUGGUCAUUUUCUGACUUUAGGAAUGAGAAGUCGAGGCUAUUCCUUCUGUGUAUUGGUACCAUACUUAUCACUCGUGUCUAUCGUAGGAUCACCUCCAUUCGGAAGAGACCAUUCAAAGAAAUGAAUCCAGGAAGCCAGAACCAAGGGAAUCAGUUUUACAGCCAUGGGAAGUCCAGGGCAGAUUCUCCUUCCUGAACUAUAGGGUAUGAAUUCAAAAUUAUGAAGAGGUCCAGGUGGGUGCAGCCUCAGGGUUUCCUUGAGGCAAGCUUGAAGGUAUGGUAACUUCUGAAGGUCGGAAUCUUUCAGCGUGUUUUGGUUGAUCUCAGUGGUGAGUUCUUCAGGGAUUUUCUUCAUGGACUCUCCCAUUGCCCACUCAGCGGUUACUCUACUAGUGUCCGUAUCAGCAACGACUAGCUCCUGCCAAACAUCAUCAAGCAUCUGGGCGAAGAUAUGAUCGAAACAAUUAGUACAAAAUGCUCAUCUUAACCAUUAAGUGUUAAUACCACAUGAAAAAACAUAAUUAACCUCUUCCACAAAUAAUUUUGUAUUGGAUGGUUCAAUCAUAUAUAUGUACGUGUGUGCACAAGUGAGGAGAGAGGCAAAGAGAUCAAACCCAAUAUGGUUUGUGAAGGAGCCUUCUUAUAAAUUAUAAUGGACGAUGGGGUUUAGAUUAUAAAUCUGCGGAGUUCAACUGGUCCACAUGCUUUGGAUUGUAGUAGCGGAUAUUGUAAUGAAAGAAAGGCUGAUAGAGAGUCAAUCAUCCAGAUUUCCUAUCAAUGAUGCUGCCUUUGCAAAAGGUACUCUUUUUUUUUAGUGCUUUAAUGGAUUGAAAAUCAAUACCUUCCAUUGAAGUUCUGAAAUUAUUGUAUUUCUAUUAUCCCUCAAAAUGAUGGUAAGAAGUAUUUUCUUGAUCAAUGAUAGGGAUGACAAGUAUAAUUGAAGCUUCCUCUUCCUCCACUCAAGUAGGCGGUAUUUAAUUUGACAAAGCUAUCGGUUCGAUCCUAUUGACUCUUAAGACUCACCAAUUACUUCAAAAUUUGGAGUAGGUUUUUACAAAAUAAUCAUGGACAAGAACUCUUGGAAGAAGUACUAGAUCCCAAGUUCUCACGAUUACGAUUCUUUGUACAUCAAAGCCAAGCACUAUUAUUUUUCUCUUGCUUGGUGCAACAUUGUCGUGAGAUGCUCGUCGAAAAGUUUUCAAAUUCUUAAUUAGUAUGAACUUCUUCUUCUAAAUAAUAUUGUAUAGAAUAUUUAUUAAGUUGAUAUAUACUUUUAAUCUUAGGUUUUCUUAUAAAAUAAGAAAAGUUUUUAAGAAUAUUUUUAUAUAUUUUAAAUUAUAAAGGGAAAAAGUCGUGAAAUGGAGAUGGAGUUUUAAAAACUAUACAAAAUGGAUACAGAUACAAAAAAAAAAAUAGGAGACAUCCAGUGGAGUGAAAAGCUUGUGGUUUAGGGUAUUGGGGCAUAAAUAUAAGUGCAAAUAUAUAAAAUAUUUCGAGAACCCAAUGAUUUUAUAUGGUUUAUAUCUUAUUCAUGGAUGUGGACAUGAGGUUGAACCAUGUUAAAACAUCUUUACGUGAAUUUUUUUAUCUUUGUAUUCUUAAAUUAAUAUUAUUUGCAUUAAAUUUUCCACGAUAGUUCUAAAACUAAUUUAAAACCUAAAAGCUGUCUGAGAGCCUCUCAAAGAUGCCAAUCUUUGUAGACACUGCUGUGAAUACUUCCAUGAUGAAAGAAAGCUGGAUUUACAGUACUGCAAGUCAAUAGCAUGUUAAAUAGGCUUUUAAUGGUGGUACCAGUAAUGAAAAUAUCCCCCACUCUCAUCUUGUUGGGCCUCAUUGUAGAUCAACUACCAGAUUGUGAAAAGAAAAUUAUUACAAAUAACCAAUUGUAAGGCGCACCAACUGUGAAAUCAAUACUAAAGAUUCUCUUAACCCUAAUCUCAUGUGCAUCUUGUUGGGCCUAAUAGGGUAAUAUUGACCCUAAUUUCAUGUGCGUCUUGUUGGGCCUUGUAAUAGGAUAAUAUUGACCCUUAUCUCAUGUGCAUCUUGCUGGGCCUCAUAAUAGGGAAAUAUUGACCCUAAUCUCAUGUGCGUCUUGGGCCUUGUAAUAGGUUCAUGUUGACCCUAAUCCCAUGUGCCUUGGGCCUUGUAAUAGGAUCAUGUUGACGCUAAUCUCAUGUGCGCCUUGGGCCUCGUAAUAGGAGAAUAUUGACCCUAAUCUCAUGUGCAUCUUGUUGGGCGUUCGUAAUAAGAAAAUAUUGACGAAGGACAAACGAAUGAAAAUGAUAAAAUAGGAUCGGUUCUACUGAUAUACUGCCAUGAAACUUGCCAAGGUAAUCGCCUACAUUAGAAGAACAAUACACACAAAGAUCUGCCAGGGGGAAAUGGAGUUGGUGGGUAUUUGAAUAUGGGAUGAAUCUCGUACACUACAGGAAAUGCAUGUCUUGAUUUUCAGUUUACCAUGCAUGCAGUACAUUAAUUUUUGAAAUGCUUUGAAUUGAAUCAUUCAGUGGAAAAUGAAAUCUUGUCGGCUUGAAGCCUGUUUUAAUUCUUUCUUUCCUUUCUUUGAUGAUAAGAUACAACAGACUGUCAGACUACACAGCUUCCCAUACAACUCCAUGGACUUCUUCUGUAUCCCUUCAACAUCCAGUCCACCAAAAACAUUUGGAUAAAAGUCAGAUACAUUUGGAGUAUAAACCAAAUCCACUACUUCUCUUCAAUCCUUCCAGCUACCCCCUCUUCCUCCAGACUGAUAAGAUCACUUAAUAAUAAAACAUUACCCAUCACAUUUAACCCAGAACCAAAUACUACCUCCUCAAUUUUCACCACCUUUCCCUCCAUUUUACCCAAAAGUCUCACCAUGUCCGUCACUUUUUUCCGUCGUAAAAAUGCUUGUGACUCUAUUGCUUUACCUGAGAAAGGUUGUAUGCCUAGGGCUUGGAAGCCUGUUGUCGAGGAAUUAACAUAUCUGCCAGAUAGGCUGCGAUCCAAAGCACAUUAGGUUUGGGGCAUAAAUUUGGCCCAACCCUCCCAAGAAUUUCGAGCCAAAGCCCAUCAGGUCCUGUAUCUAGGGUUGGGCUUAUAAUGAUUUUAUAAACCCAUUCCCGGGCCAAGCACUCACGAGCUUAUAAGAUUUCCCUAAAAAAUGUCGUUCAAAAUGUGGAUAAUGUCAACAGUACAUAAAUCAAAACUUGUCACGUUAUUACAAAUUAAAUAAUAAAAUUUUGUUGAUGUCUUGGGCCUGAGAUAGGGCCUAAGCUAAGAACUAAAUUUCUAGUCCAAUCCAAAAAUCUGUCUGGACCAGAAUAUGGGGAGCCCAAACCCACGCCAAGAGGUCCAGGCCAUUGGCUGCUUUAAUACUAUUUAUAAUAACAUUAUUUUCCCUCGAGCUUAGUAUAACUUCAAAGACAAUAAUUGAGUUUAGUAUAACUUCAAAGGUAAUAAUUGGUUAUAUUAUUCACACGAUAAAAAGAAUGAAGCCCACUAAAUAUUGGUUGUUUCUUAUGUCAUAAGAUUACGAGAUUAAACAAAAUCACUCGUAUAAUUAGAUGAAAAUUAACUUUAAAAACAUUUGUAAUAACCCAUUUGAUUUCAUGUAAUUAUUGUAUGAAUAAGUUUUUUAAGCUGUGAAAUCUCAAUCUUAAAGCAAGAAUAUGCACACAUCAAAAGUUCUACCCUCGACAUGUUACAAUUAAGCUCAUCAUCUGAUUUCAUGGGCUUCAAUCCUUCGUACAAGGUCUUCAAGGACACGUCACACUCCUUUAAUUAACUAGGCCCUAUUCGAUAUGCAUUGUUAGGCCAUUGAGGAAGAGUUAAAUAUCAGAGUAAUGGUUUAGAGGCGUCCACGUCCAACGUUGCACUCCGUCAAUUUCCGAACAACGCAAGUAUUGAGAAAGUAACACAAUGUCAUAGGUACAUCAUACAUGUGACAGCGCAGCUUGUCACCACGCCCAAACAAGGAACCAAGGACAACCAGCUUCGCAUGCCCUGUCUGCCUCUUAAUUGCUAAUCCCAUCAUCAAAAAACUAACAACAAGAUUAGGUCCGGAAGUGCUUGUUUUUUCAAAGCCCUUUGAAAAAAAAUAAAAAGCAAAAAGGCAGGGAUGUCUGGUAAAUUCAGACCCAUAGAAAUGAAGAUUAGUGGAGAGUGGUCAUGUCAUCUUUUUGUAAUUUUGAUUUUGACAAUGACUUAGCCUGCCCCAAUGCAAGAGAGAGGGCCGGUUUAUUCCAAAAGAAUUCUUUGGAUUUCACUUAGGUUUCAAACAAGAAGAUUUAACACUAUUAGGCUGGCAACCUAUAAUUGACCUUUUGGAAUCCUGAAUGCUGUUUCCUAUUGAAGAAAAAUGGGAUCUGAUGUUUUAAUUUUUUCCUUCUUUUUUUUUCUUUUUUUUUUCUUUUUUUUUGUGGGUCUUUUUGAAAGGAGAAUGAUUCGAUAUUUCUGGCCCCGGAAGGGAAAAAUAUCUUCUAUAAUGUGUGAAAGAUGUAUGGACACCAUCUCUGAAAGGAUGGGCCACUCUCCCAUGGCUGAGGUUCAACCUCUCAUCAAAAGUUUUUGGUUUUAUUUAUGCGGUAAGGAUUUUUUUCAGAGAAAUGAAAUAAAAGAGAAGAAAAGGUUAGGGUAUAUUUGGUAACUAUUUUUUAAAAUAGUUUUUAAAAAUAAUUUUUUUUAGAAUAAUAUUUUAAAAUUAUUGUAUAAUGUUUUAUAAAAAUAAAAAUCUUUUUAGAAAUCUAAAAUAUUUUUAAAAUUUUUUAAUAUUUUUAAAAAUAAAAUUUACAUUUAAUGUUUUAUUUUUAAUUAUUUUAUAUAUUGAUAUAAUUAUUUUUUAAAAUAAUUCUAAAAAAAUAAGUGAAAACAACUUAUAACUAAAAGAUAUUUUUUGAAAAUACUAUAUUUUAUGUUCUUAAAAAUAGAAAGCAGAAAACAGUUUUUUGUUUAUCAAACCUCUGGUUUUUUUAUUUUAUUAAAUAGAAAAUUAUUCUAAAAAAUAGUACGUCUAAAAGUUUCAAAUGUAUAAAUUUUUACUUUAUUUUUUUUCUUGUUUUUAUACCAAAUAAAAAUACAAAAUUUGAGUAUUUUUUUUCUAUUUUAAAAAAUUCAAUCAAAAUGAAAAAAAAAUUUAGUGUUGAUCUGGAUAAAGUUCUUACUUUCUAUUUUAAAAUUAAAAAAUAAUUGUAAUCUUUAGAUUAUUAAAAAAUAAUGACUUAAAAAUUUAUCUAAAAAAAUUGAAAUAUUAAAAAAAAAAAUUACAACCUCAAAUUUUAACAUUUUUUAAAUUAAUUUUUAAAGAUAUAAAUUAAAUUUAAACGUCAUUUUUUUUCUUUUUUGCAUGAAAUGAUCUUCUUUUUAUAUAGAAUUUUCUAAUAUUAAAAAUCAAAAGCAAAAAAUGUAUCUAAAACUUUAAAUUUGACUCAUAAUUGAGUUUUUAUUUUCAAAAGUAAAAAAAAAAUAGCAAUAAUGUUUAUUUAAAAUAAUAACAUGUUUAGAUAAAAUUAUUUUAUUCAAAAAUAUUUAUAUUAAAUUAAAAAUAAACUAAAAUAAAACAACAUGAUAGCCAGUCCAAAAAAACAACUAGAAAACAUUAUCUUUUGUGUUCAACAAUCAACCAAAAAAAAUUAAUUAAUAAAAAAAAAAAUAGGUAAACAUGUUUAGUCCAAAGAUGCAUGUGAGAUAUUUCAAUAAAAAUCCAGAUGUGAAAUAAUUGGGAGUGGGAGGCUUGUCUUGCUCAGCCUAGCUUUUCUUUUCGAUAAUAACGCAUCGAUACAACCCUGGCCCAUGCAUUGAUUCUAUGACAAAUGUACACCACGACCGAAAGCGCUUCUAUAGAAAGCACAAGAUUAAUAUUUUUAAUUAAUUAAUUAAUUAACAAUAUCCAACACCUAUACGCACCCCCCUUUUCACUUUUUGUAGCAUUAUCACACGACGAUUAUUUAUUGAUACUGAAUGAUAAUAAAGCUAAAUACCAUAAAUUAUUUGGCUAAUAUUUUUAUCUCUCAAUGGUCCACGUGUGGAUGAAAUCGGAGAUGGCUUAUUCCAAAGAAUUGUUUCCUAUAAAUCUCGAUUCCCACGUGGAUAUUAGAAAUAUUAAAUAUUUCUUUAAUAGGUAUGUUGGUUUGUAAAUGAAUAAAAAAAAAAACAAAGAUUCGAGUUCUAUUGAUUUAAAUACAAAAAUAUCUCUUUUGAGUAUAAUUAGAUUUUAAUUAAAUUCAUUUAAUAAAUAGAUAACCUUUUUUUGUCAAUCUACAUAACACAAAUUUGACUCAAAUUAAUCAAUUCAAUAAUUUUAUUGAUUAAUUUAAUUACAACUUUGAGUUAUUUGAUUUAUUUUAAAUUUGCUUUUAAAUAAUAAAAAAAUUGAUUAACUCAUAAAUAUAUUUAAUUAAAACAUUAAUCAUAUAGAUUUAUAUAAGACCUAUCCAACUUAAUUAUUAAAAUGAGAUACUUGAUUAUUAAAUAUAUUAAAUGAGUUAUACGAUUUGGUUUAUGUUAUUUGACAUUAUUAUUAUUGGGUUUUGAUUGAACUAUCCAGUGGACUAACUAGGUUUUGACACGAUACGAACUUGAUUCACCGAGAUGUCAUUGUUAUUUUUAAAGAAUAAUUUAGAUAUAAAUACUAGAAAAUAAGAAUUUGAAUUUUGUAAAACAUAUAAAUAUCUCUUUUAAAAAGUAAGUCGAUUCAUGUAUGAGUGCUAAAAAAAUUUGGAGUGUGGGUUUUACUAAUUUAAACACGUAAAUAUCUCUAAUUUUUACCUAUAAAUAUUAAUGUAUUGAAAGAUACCCUUAACAGAUAUAUUUAUGCUUUUCAAUUGGGAUUUGAAUUUUGUAAAACAUAUAAAUAUCUCUUUUAAAGAGUAAGUCAGAUUCAUGUAUGAGUGCUAAAAAAUUCGUAGUGCGAGUUUUAUUAAUUUAAACACAUAAAUAUCUCUAAUUUUUACCCAUAAAUAUUCAUGUAUUGAAAGAAACCCUUAAAAGAGAUAUUUAUGCUUUCCAAUUGGCUUAGAGAUAUUUAUGUAUUGAAAGAAACCUUUAAAAGAGAUAUUUGUACAUACAAACAAAGAAAAAUUGGAUACUUAUUUUUUAAUAUUUAUAUACAAAUCAAUCGUAUUUUAGAAACUAUUUUUUUAAAGAAGUCAUCCAAUUACAUCAUUACUUUUCUAAUGUAUCUUACCAUUUUAUUAUCAUAAUAAAAUGUUAAAGUUAUAUUAUUAAAAAGAAAUUAUAAAAUUUAUUUUUUUAAUAAUUAAAUUUUUUAACCAUUUUGAAAUCUAAAUAAUUUCCUCAUUCCACUUAUUAAACUUUGUGAUGAUACAAUAUUUACCAUAUAUACAUAGUUUGACAAAAGGAAAAGUAGCAAAAUUGUAUUAUAGAAAAAUAUUUCCAAAAAUGGCAAAAGAAAUAAAAUAAAAUAAUACAAAAAAUAUAUUUCACCUAAAAUAUUAUAAAAUUGGAAAAAAUUAAUUUACAUACCAUCUUAGUUUUUUUCUAUCAAUAAUCUAUCCAAUAAUUAUGAGUCUAUGCAUGGAAAUCCACCCUUUCCUAUUAAUUAUGAUUUUUUUUUUUCUCUACUUGAUAGCACUCAUUAGAAAAGUAAUGAUUACAAAUAUGGGUCCAAAUCUUGUCUUGAAAAUAAGUGACUGAAAACCUUAGCCAAUGAUGGUGGGCACAUGCACACAUAAAAUGAGACACUUUCUUUAUUUGUCCACAUCAUAUAAAAAUUAAAAUACAUAAAUAUAUUUUUAUAAAUGAAAGUAUGUACAUAAAUGUAUUUGAUUAUAAUUAAUAACCAUUAACCACCAAACUAUAAACCCCAUUUAAAUAAUUAUUAUGAGCCAAUCAUUUGUACAAAUUCUGCCCCAAUCAUAACGCUAGGGCAAUGCCUAGUCAUCUUGAGUUUCUUGAAUAUUACAUAUUGUACCACUUAGAUGUAUUAAUAUACAACUCAUCAUGAAGGGUAUCCAUUUCUAAUCUCAAUCUAGGCGUACACGUCAAUCCUUGUUAUUUAAUUAAUCUUAUAUUUCAAACAAAAAAAAUUGUAAAAUUAAUAUGUGGAAAUUCUUAACCUUAGAAUUAUGUCAAAAAUUUCAAAUGAAAUGUGAUGAAAAAUACCAUUUUACAGCUAAUCAGUUAGAAUAGAAUCGACUACUGAUUAAAACAUGUGGACCUUGAACUCCAUUAUAACGAGUCAUUGCUUUUAAUAGUAAAAAUAAAAUUCAAAAACCGACAAGAUAUAAAAUGACAAGGAGAAAGUUUUUACAUUAAUAAGUAAUUCAGAUAUUAAUUUGUUAUAUAGGAUAAGAGUAAACUUGAAAUAAAGAUAAACGAAUUAAGUUCGAAUAUUACUUGUGUUAUCCUAUUUUACCUUAUUUAUAUGAGUAAUUAAAUAAAAGUUAUUUUAAUUUAUUUUUUUCUUAAUUCAUAAAAAUAAAGUAUAAAAUUUUAUAAUAUUUAUUUAUUUUACUUAUUUCUAAUGUAAUUAAAUUUUAAAUUUUUUUAAAAAUUAAAUAAUACAACUAGAUACCUAAUGCGAAAAUCCCGUACCCAUCACAUUCUACUUAUUUAUUUAUUUUUAUAAAAUAAAAAAAUUAUUAAGUAAAACCAUAGAAAACAUCUACUACGAUGUUCACAAACCACAUUCAACUGGCCAUUAAAUUAAUCCAAAAGUUUUUAAUGUUCCAAGUUUUUUUCCCUUGCUUUCCGAAUACGUAGCCCUAAAUCCAAGACAGUCGCAAUCAGACAAAUAAAAAACCGGGGCGGCUAAGAUGAUAAACUUCAUCAGUCAACUUAGUAAAUAAUUAAUCUUAAUUAAGGUUCAGUCACAAUUAUUAAGGAAAAAAAAAGUAAAUAGUUUGAAAGGCAACAGCCGCCCACGUGGCAGACGUCCAGGCCACGGUGUACAGUGACAUGUCAUGCUAACUAGGGUCACCACGAGGAGAUGGCUGGAGUGUUGGAGACAGUUCAGAACCCUGACCACUCAUUUUUCUCCCUUGGAGGUGAGAAUCGAGGAAUAGACUUGGGAAGCUUCCUCUUCUAUUAUUAUGGAUAUGGGUGUCUUAAUUAAAUUGGUCUUAGUAUUUGCUUAGUGGAGUCUGGUGAAACCGAGGAAAAUGAGGAGAAAACUAUGGGAGAAAGCGAGGGGAAAAAGUGAAGUGUGGGUGGGAAGUCAAGGAUGGAAUCUGAUAAAAUAAAUAAAUAAAUUAUUUUUAUUAUCACUUUAUUGCAAAAAAAUUGACUUGCUUGGAGGCAUCUUUGCAUGGGAUUGGGGCCUCCUUUAUUAAUGUCAUUGUCUUGGUAAACCCAAUACAUAAAAUGCAUUAAUUAAAGUUGAAGCAUCUGCAUGAUGCUAAGAGGCUCUGUUUGGAACACAUUAAAGGGUGGAAAAGUAUUUGAAAAAAAGAAAAUAAAUAAAUACAUAGAAAAUAAUCCAAAAUCUCAUAUUUGAUUUUUUUUUCCUUUUUUCGAAGGAAAAAAAAAAAGUAACAGAAAAUGAAAAAAAAAUGAUAGGAAUUGAAAUUUAGGGAUGUUAAGAUUUUUAGGAAUAAAAUUUUAUUUGAGAAUUCAAAUUGAAAAAUAGUUUUAUUUUUUGACUUAUUAAAUUUAUGAAAUUAUUGUAUAUUUGUAUAUAAUAUACAAGUUUUUUUUAAGUAUUUUCUAUAUUUUUAAUUUCUACUUCGAAUGUAGAAAAUAAAUUAAACACUUCAAAAAUUGUUUUAAAAAAUAGUAUAUUUUGAACAAUUUCUUUUAUAUUUUCAAGAAUAUUUAUCAAAUAAAAUAGUAUAUGUUUCUAAAUUUAUUUUUUUAUUUUUUAUUUAUCUUGUAUCCACUUAUUUCUUUCAAAAAUUUCAAAAUCCAAAUUGGAGUUAAAAGGAGUGGAAAAUGAAAAAUAACAAGGUGGGAUAAAAGAUUUUUGUUAUUAUUGUUUAUAUCUUAUUUCUAUAAAGAGAAAAAAAUAUAUAUAUUUGUAUUGUUGCAAGAAAUUGAAAUUGAAAUUGACAUUAUUUCUUAUUGAUAAUUUUAGACCUUAAUUAUAUUUAAACAAAGUCAACAAAGAUUCAUUCAAAGUCCAAAGUGUCAGUUGAAAUUAUAAAAGGAAGAUAAGAUUUCAAUAAAAAAUUGUAAAUUCUAUGUAUAAAUAAACAUUCAUGUGGGUGUGCACCCAUAGGAUCCAAAUAAACAAAUUGUGAAAAGAAAUAAUGAAUUUAAAUUAAAAAUAUAAAUAUAUUAAUGUUUGGAUUCCAUAUCCAUCAAACAAAAUGUUUUUACUCAAAAGUGUUCUUAACCAAAGUAUUUUUUUAAAAAGUUUUUUAGGAGAAUUACAUGUUAAGUCUAUUUCAUAGUAAUUAUAAGAAGGGUUUUUAGUCUUAAAAGUUUUUAUUUUUUAUUUUUUUUUAAAAUAGGUGUUUCAGUGAAAUUUAGAAAACAUUUUUAAAAAUCUUAAAAAUCAUCCGUAAUAUUAAAAAAUCACUUGUAGUAUUUUAUAGAUAAAUACUUUAUAAGUGAUUCUCUUAAAAACACUUUGAGAUAAAAUACUGGAAUAAAAUUACUGUCAAAUGCUCCCUAAAGUUUGUUUGACAAUGAUCAUAAGAAAUGCUUUUAGUUUAAUAAGUGUUUUUUUAAAAAAAUUUAGAUGUUAGACAAAAUUUAAUAAAUACUUUUAAAAAUCUAAACAACCAGUUAUAUCAUUUUCUAAAAACACUUUAAGAGAAAAUAUUUAUAUAAAAUACUUCAAGUGAAAGAUACUAUCAAAACAACCUGAGUUUCUUUAGGAAACACUAUAAGUAAUUUUGUAAUAAAAUUUUCAAAAUUUUAAAAGUUUUUUUCUUUUUUUAGUUAUCCAUUUGGUUUUUUAAAUAAAACCUUAGAAAUCUGAUAAAAUAUUUGUACAUAGAAUGAAAUGGAAUGAUAUGUUUAACAAUAAUUUUAAAAAUGUAUUUCUAUCAUUUAUAAUACUUUAAAAUUUUUAUUUUGAAGUAUUAUAAAUAUUAAAAACAAUUCCCAGAAUCAAUGUCAAAAGUUUAAGAAAGUAAAGCAGGUGGGGUGUUUUAGGGUUUAUGUAAAAUUUCUAAAAUUUAGGUUGAGGUAUGAAGAAUGAAGAGGGGCAAGCUUUAUAUAAAGAAAUAAACCUCCAAAUCCAAGCCAAACCCACAGGUUUGUAUUGAUGAGACUAUUCCGCACUCCCAAAUUCCAAAACAAGGAACACAUUGCACAGUGUCGACCACAAUUAUUUUAAUGUACUCCACCUUCGUAGCCCAUCAAAAUCAAUACCUCCCCCACUUUCUCUCUCAUAUUUUCCCAGGAAACAAACAAACUUUGCACCCUUUUCCCACAUAAAUCAAAUGCAACCCACCUUCCCCCUCUCCCUUCCUCUUCAUCUUCGUCUUCCAAUUGCUCAAAAGCUUGAUUCUAGGCUCUAGAGAUUUUUGGGUUUUCGACAUCUUCAUGGGUACUGGUGUCUCCCUUCUUGCUUGUGAAAAUGAAGGGUGUCCUUCUCGACCCAGGCUUGGAGAUUUGCCUGAGGACUGUGUGGCUUUGGUACUGUCGUACUUGGAUCCACCAGAAAUUUGCAAAUUGGCCAAGCUGAAUCGGGCGUUUCGCGGGGCUUCUCGGGCUGAUCUCGUUUGGGAGCCCAAGUUGCCCUCCAAUUAUUGUUUGGUUAUCGAGAAAGUGUUUAAGGAUUUUCCCGAAAAUUUGUGUAAGAAAGAGAUUUAUGCCAGAUUGUGUCAGCCUAACCCCUUUGAUGGAGGCACAAAGGUACAAGUUCUUUUUCCUUUUAUUUUCUCUUGUUGGGCUCUCAGAAAAUAUAAGGAAAAAAAAAAAGGAAUAUCAUUAUCCUUGGAUUUUUAAGUAUUUGGGAUUUCCUUUUAUUUUCCUGGGUUUUCCCGGCAACCGAAGUGGGAUGUGUUGUUUCCUAUUUGAUGAUGACGAAUUUUAGAAUUUGGGUUUUCUUUUGCAGAAGGCUUGGCUGGAUAAGAGAACAGGCGGUGUCUGUUUGUCAAUCUCUUCAAAGGGAUUAGCAAUCACCGGAAUCGAUGAUCGGAGAUACUGGACCUACAUUCCAACUGAAGAAUCCAGGUGAGAUUGAUGGAUUUCAUUACGAAUUCCUUGGAAUAGAAAUUUUUUAUUGAUUCGUUGAAUUCCAUUUCGUAAACGAUUUUAUCUGCUUGGAUGCUAGUUUCUUUGAUCUGCAUAAUAGUUGUUCUUCAACGUUGUUUGAACUUGUUAUAAACCAUUGCCAGAUUCUAUAUCUUAGUUUUGGGUUCAUUGACAUGUUUAAUAUAUCAUUGAUCCUGUUGAAGUGAUUUCAAGAAAUCAAAGAACAUCUGCAAUUGGGAAGGUUAAAAAAUUUGGAAUCUUGAUGUUCAUUUGUUUGUACUUGGAUAUCGAAAAAAAUAUCUUUCAGGUUUCUCACUUAAGAAAAUAGACUUUUAGUUAGUUCCCAUUGUGUACAGCCUGUAAUCAACAAAAAUAAAUGAAUUCAAGCAGUAUCAUUGAUGUAUGAAAACAAAUAAUAGAUAAGAAAAUAAAAUGAUGAGCAAUUAUUAAAAGAAGUAAAUAAUCUUUGGCACUUUAAUCAAGAUGGAGCUUUUGAGUGGCUUGCAUGUCUAUGUUUGAUUUUGUCGAUUGGUUAGGCUGCCAGUAAGGGGAGGGAGUACUUUUUCCUAUCUCUUCUUGAUGUUUAUCUUUUUUUGCUUUGAAGCGCACUUGAAUACUUCCCGUGUACUUUGUGUGGCCUUUUUUGGCGCUUAUUAAUUUAUUGCUCUUUCGCCUAUUCAAGAAAAACAAAGAGUGGCUUGCAUUUGUUGAUGAUCAUGCCAUAUGAACAACUUUAGCUUAUGUCAAGUGUUGUGGAGAAGAUUAGGGUUCAUAAUCAGUGUUGCUGCCUAAUGCAUUUAAGAAAGACUUGCAAUAAUUGAUUGAAGAUUGAAAAGAACAAAGCAGAAAAAGUGUAUGGAAGAAAAGUUGUUGGUGUUUUAGCGUAUGGUGAUGGGAGUCCUAGAUUCUGUUAAUUGUUAAAUAGAGAUUAGAGGGCGACAUAGCAUUAUUGGAAAGUUCGAUUUGAAAUGCAAAUGUUUUUGGUUGAGAACAUGUAAAAGCAUAUUAAUAAAUAAGAGGACAAUUUUAUUCUUAUGGCAAUAGAAAGAGAACGGAAAUUUUGAAUCUUGAGAACCUUCUAAUUUUCUUAAUUUGUAUUUAGUUUGCAAGACCUAAGUGUUCUAACUGCAUGUUGGAAUCAACCUACUAGGUGGAUUUGAAUUGUGAUUUAGAAAGUUCUUGUUGAUAUCUGCCCAUAAUGACAUGUAAAGGAGCUUUAAAUAUGCAGUGUUUUGAUGUUUGUUGAAAUUAUGCUUUCUGUUGCACAUGUUCUUUUUCUCUAUCAGUGGACUUGCUGUUGCAAGCAUAGAUCUUUCUUACUACUGCAUUACAAGAUAAAAUUUACUUCUGUUCACCUAGUGAAAUGGGAGUACUUGAAUUGAUUUCUUCUCUCUGGGCAUGUAGGUUCAACACUGUUGCAUAUGUUCAGCAAAUCUGGUGGCUUGAGGUUGAUGGGGAGGUCGAUUUCCCAUUUCCAGCAGGAACUUAUAGCAUAUUCUUCAGGCUGCAGUUGGGGCGGGCUUCCAAGAGGCUUGGCCGUAGGAUCUGUAACCCCGAGCACGUACAUGGUUGGGACAUAAAGCCAGUGCGUUUCCAGCUAUGGACUUCAGAUGGUCAACAUGCCACAUCUCAGUGUUUCUUGGAUGAACCUGGAAGGUGGAUUCAGUACCAUGCAGCAGACUUUGUUGUUGAUAACUCUAAUGCACCAACAAAGAUUAAAUUCUCAAUGACCCAGAUCGAUUGCACACACACCAAAGGUGGUCUUUGUGUAGACUCUGUUCUGAUAUACCCAAGAGAAUUUAGGGAAAGGUUAAAGCAUUUUUGAAUCACACUUAACCUCUGUAGGUAGGAAGUUUUAUGUUAUAGAGGUAGGGCAUUUCUAAAAGAAAACAGAAUCAAAUACUAGUUGGUUCUUUCUGGCCUUGAAAUCAUUUGUAUGCACCAAAGGCUAUUUGUAAAUCUAUAUUUCUCUUAAGUAGCACCAUCCUAGUUGUGUGUAUUCCUUUUUCUCUCCAUUGUCAAUAGUUUCUUGUGAGGGACUUUGGGGAAGGGAGGCCAGUUGAUAUAAAUAGAAGGAAUCUGAUUCUUUUCUUUUUAGGUUUUUUCUCCAUGGUGCGAAGCAACAAAGUGCACCAUCGGUUUUUUUUUUUUUUUCCACAAAUGUUGGCUUUCCUCUCCCUAAAACUUGGUGCUUACCAAGUACGGCUCUAGGUGGACUAUACAUGUGAACCCACAAUGCUACCCGGCUUUGGAGAGAAGUCUAGGGAAAUUGGUUGGUGGAUUCUUUUUUUUAGGACUGUUUCGUGAUUAGGAGCUCAAAGGAGAUCUUUCUCUAGAAAUUUCAAGCGUGCACAAUUGAGAGAAAGGAGGAUGAUAGUUUGGUGUGGAAUGCCGCCAAAGGUGGCAAAUUCUCCAUCAAAUCCUUCUACCUUCCCCUACUCCAGGAAGAAUUCAUGGGUUACUUAGGAGGUGAGAUUUUUUGUUUGGGAAGCUUCUUGGAAGAAUUUUCACGACCAAUCAGCUUAAAAGGAGGGAAGGAAUUAUGCCCAAUAAAUGUUAUUUGUGUAAAAGAAAUGGAGAAUCUGGCAUAUUAUUUGCUCCUUCGUUAUCCUAAGCAAACGUAUGCUAUGACAGCUAAUUUCUCUUUGUUUGAUGUGACUUUAGGUUAUGCAUUCAAUUAAGUCGGCAUAGAAAUCUUUUGGGGUAAGAAACGAAAAGGGUUUGGAGGGUCAUUCCAUUGUAUGUGGUCGACUGUGUGAAAGGAGAGAAAUUAUAAAUGUUAGUUCAAAGGAGAGUUUAUUUUUUGUUUCUUUAUCUUGCCUAUUUCUUUGGGAAUACACAUUGGGUGUAUUUUAUUGAACCUUCUUGUAGGUGCAGGAAAAAAAAAUACACACAAUAAUAGGCAUCAUUAGUAUUAUAAACGAAUGCCGAAUUGCUAUUGGAAUAGUGUUCGAGAUGGAAAUAGCGAGUUGUAAUACUGGCUUCAAAAGAUGAUUCCGACAAACAAAUGCAUCGAAGUAGUAACUUGUAACUUGGUGGUCAUGGUCGUACAAUUUCUUCAGCAGCCCAUCGCCUUGUUGAAAUCACAAGCAUCAUGAAAUGUCCGUCCUUGCCCUGGUUCUGCAGCGUUUUGUUGCAUCUACAAACAAAACCGAUUCAUGCUUCUGGGAAAUACUAUGAUUUUUUUAUACACCUACAAUAAAUUCCUGGGCCUAAAAUAAAAUCAAAAUUACAAGUGAAACUUGAAAGGUUGUAUUGCUCAUCAAUAUACCAUUUAUAUUCCUGACAUUGUUACAUUUGCUUCUACAAGCCUACCAACAACUAUUAGUCUAUUACAACUAGAGCAGUAUACCACCCUGAGACCCCAUCAAAACUUCUUUAAGAAGGUCCUGUACAAACUGUGUUGAGCCACCAGCCCAAUAUCGUAGACCACCCAAAAAACUAAAACCUCCAAAAUGAACUACUUAUGCCUUCCAGCCAUAUUCCAUGCUCUCCUGGUCAGCAUUGAAGACAUCAUUCUCAUAGAGCCCGUGGGCCACAUCCUGGACCGCUUCAGGCACUGGCAAAUCUGGUUCCCUCUUUACGAGGCCAUUGUUCUCACUAGUCCCAGAAGACUUGCUGCUUGACGCAGCUUUAAAGCUUUUGUCCCUCCCGACAAAACUGCCCAACACAUUUGCUGGGGAGGCCACAGCUGCAGUGCUGUCUCUACAACCUAGCUCAUUCCGAACGACACUAGUUCCCCUGGCCUUUUUAGGUAAGCCACCAAUUGUACUUGUAUUAAUGCCGCAUAAGACUUCUUCCUCACCCCCAUUUGAAUUGUGUAACCCUUUUGCUCUGUUGUUGUUCAUCAUCUCCUGAAGUAACUUCUGGAUCAUGCAAUGCUGCGUAUUUUGACUGCCUUGAGAAGAAUGGAUACUCGAGGAGGAAUUAACUGGUGGGGGGAUCUGGAUGAGUCCAGGACUUGAGGAUUUAGGGCGCUGAACAGGUAAAGAAGAUGCACCUGGGAUAGAACUGUUGAACAAACAAGGUUCCUGUUUCACUGUGCUUGAAUUUGAGUUCAAGGAGCUUUGUCGCAUCAUUUUCUGGUACCGAGUGGUCAGUGCAAGUGCUCCCUCUUCUGAGCCUGUCAUAAGCCCACUGGAGAUAUCCCUCAAAUUAGAAGCCCUGUUGCUCGGGGAAUCUUGACCACUCUCUGGCUGCUCCCCGUGAUGCAGUUGUUUUUUCUUAAUCUUGACUGUGGUUGCUUCCCGAGGAUAAUUUUUCAAGCUCUCUGAAAAUGAGCAUUGGCAACAGAUAUAACUUGUAAGAAUCAAUAACGCAAUAACUUCACUGAAUAACAAGGUCAAUAGGCAAAUUUUAAUUAAUUAAUGAAUUUAAUUUUGUUCCUUGCUGUUGUACAAUGUCAUGCUCCGUUUAUAUGUGGUAACACAAAGGGUAAUAAAUGAGAACACGCAUGGUUGCCAAGCUGCUCUAGGAUUUAAAUAUUUUCCCCAUUUUUUGUCUUCUUGAACACAAAAAUGGUGCACUGAGUUUCAAGUGAUAGGAAGAUCCAAGUGGAUGUUAUUGUCACCAACUUCAUGUCCACAGCAAUAAAACAGAGAUAGGAUUAUUUCUUUUAUGUGAUUUUAGGAAGAAAAAACACAAAACAAAAUACAGAAACCACAUGUUUCAAGAUGGCAUCAGGAGACAGGGAAGCGAUGAACCACAUUCACAAAGCUAUAUAAACUAAAAAGCUAUAAUUUUCCUCUGAUGCCAGCCAAAUCACAUCUGGAAAGUAAACUCGCAAAAAGUUGCAUUACAAGAAGCCUGAAGUUGUAUUUAACAAAAAGGCCCUUGAAGAUGGGAAAUUUAAGGGCAACCCUGAAGGCUAGAUGAAAUCAAAAGAUAUUUCCUAGUAUUAACAAGCAGUAUGAGUUACCGAUUGGCCCAAUGUUGCUAUCCCUCACAAAAAUCAUCAAGUCUUUCAUACUAUCAACGACCUCAGCUAUCUGUUAAGAUUUACAAUUGAAAAGUAUAAAAACAUAAAAGAGAUAUAUAUGAGAAAAUGCUCCAGAUUCAAACAAAAGGAACUGCUCAGGUUUACCUGCAAGCAUCGAACAUAUCUUUUUGAAAAUCCCAACUCAUCUACCAACUGCAACUCCAAAUUUCUUGCAAGCUGAUGCCCAGCUCUCAGAAACCUACAACAAAAUACUUGGUAAAAGUCCAGAUCAAGUUUUAACUGUAUUAAUAUGGUCUUGCCUUUUUCUCCUUAAGAAGAUAAAGUAUGAUAUUAGCAAACUCUGACCCAAUGUCACCAGCCCAGCCAUACAUUUUAGACAAGUCUUCCACUAAAAACUUGUAUAAUCCAAAUUCAAACUAAUUAUAAAUUCUGACUUUAAGAAGAUUUCCUGCUAUGAUCUGUUGGCAUAACCUUGUCUUUUCAUGAGAACCAGGUGAUCCAGUGAUCACAUAGAGACCCAUAGACAAGGGAAUCAAAGCAAAAAAUUCAAGCAGAUUGCAUAGAGGGUUUAUUCGUACAUGUGGGAACAUUUCAGACUACCUAUGAAAAUGAAAUUAUUCUAUGGUAUUUCACAUGGCAUUUUAAACGAGUUCCUUCUGUUUUUUAUACAGCAUUUGUAAUGAGGAUUUUGCAAUAUGCGUAAGAUCAUCGUAAGAUUUCUUGAAAUAGCAUAUGCUUUUCUAUGUUCUGUCUUUUGGGGAAAAUCCCUUUUUUAUGGCUUUUGUUUAACCAAAAAUAUCCCCUUGACAGCCUUUGAACAUGGUUUGGCAGCUCCUCUAUCCAAGCAGCGGCUCCUUUCAAACAGCCAUGAGGAAUAAAAUACGUUGCUAUCCUGUAAUAUAAGUUUGUUGGACCAUGUAGCAGCAAAGUGCACCCAAAGUUGUUCACAAUUUUAAUUUGGGUAAAUUGCGAAAUUCGCCCCUGUACCAUGGUUCAAUUUAGUUCCUAAACCUUUUUUUGAAGUAAUGUCACCCUCAAACUAUUCCCAAAUGUUAAAUAGAUCCAUCUAUUCAGGAUUUCCAUUAGAAUGGAUGGAGAAGUACACAUGCUUGUCAUCUCGGCACCACAUGCAAUUUAAGCAAAAUUAUAGUUUUAUAUUUAAUAGUGUUUGGUAAAAAGAAAAAAUAAAAUAAAAAACCGUAAAGCUGAAGGUUGAGGAGACACCAUCACUAGAAGCCCUAAACAAACUACUUACAACUCUACCUACAAACAAGGAAAUCACAGAAAUCAUAUUGACAGAGGAUAUCGGUCUCUAGGUUUGAAAUCAAGUCAUGAAUAUAUCAAUAUAUGCAACGGUACUGAAAUUUCUGGGUUUUUUGUUACACUGAGUUUGAACAAUUGUUAUUAACUCCAUAUGUGGGUGGGUUUUUUUGUUAUACUGUGUUUGAACAAUCGUUAUUAACUCAUAUGUGGGUUUGGAUUUUAGAAUGAGCUGGUUAAUUUGUAUGUAAAAAGUUGAUUGUAUGACUGAUAUUGGAAGAAUUCCAUCUAAUUUUACUGUCAAUAAUUUUUAGGGUUUAUGAUUAAAUUAGGUUUUCAAAAUAGAGUUUUUCAUUGGAUUAAUUAGUAAAUGGUAUUAUUUUUGGAGUUUUAAUAGGCCCUAGGCACCAUUCAAUCUGAAGACUUCAAUCUUCAAUUUUUUUGUGGUUUGUUCCAACCUUCAAUCUUCAAUCCUCUAUAAUUAAAAGAACAAAACCUCAUAAACCUUCAACUGUUAACCUUUCCUUCUCUGCAAAACGAAGUCUCCCCUUUUGGACUUUUUCAUCUUCAUUACUCUUUUUCCUUCCUCUUUUCACUAAACAGAACCUAUCAUGCCGGUGCCCAGAUAACAAGCAUGUGUGCUUCUCCAUCCAUAGUAACAGAAAUCCCUGACAUAAGAAUCUAUUUGACACAUUGGGGAAAAUUCAAGGUUGACAUUGCUUCAAAAAAGGUUUAGGAACUACAUUGAAACAGGGUGAAAGCAGAGGAGUGAAUUUUCUAAUUUAUCCUUUUAACUUUUAGAUGCUUAUUCCUGGUUUAUGACAGCAGCCAUUAACAUGAAGGAAGCUGAAGCCUCUAUAACAUUUCCUCCACUAAAGGCCCUCAAAUGAAAUUAAAAACAGUUAAGAGAGUUACCCAUGGCUUAACGCAAUUACAAAUAUAACAUAUGCAUGUAUGAGGUAGCAAGCCGAUUUAUAUGAAGAAUAUAACCUUAGGAAAUCAUGUUUUAAGAAAAUAAAACAAACAUGGAGGUGUUAAACAAAACUCACCUAUUGCAAUUUACUAGCAAAUCUUGUGCACAAAACCCAUCAGAUUUACUUCCAUUCAUUGUGGUUUGAUACUUCUGGGCAGCAUGAACUAACUGAUUAACCUGCAAAUGAGAGCACAUGUUUAAGGAAUGUAAGUUACAACUUACAAUAGGGUUGCAGCCAGUAGCAAGAUAUGUUAAAUUCAAGGACUUCCAUAGCAAAAUGGUUAUACCAAGUACCUUCAGUGACCUUUCCAGGACUGAGGAACAAUUAAUCAAAAAGUAGCAGUGAAUUAUCUAUUUAAAAUUAAUACAUUGCUUCUUGGUUGAAACCUGAUCCUAAUGCACACACUAAUUUCCAUCUUCUGGUUUCAAUCUGGUCCAGAAAAUAGGAACGAUGAUUGUAAUGCUAAACCAAAAAUGACAAAUUGAUUAAAGGUUCUUCCAUGAAUAUCAAGAAGAAUGGUAGCUGGAAAGGUCAAAAUAAUGAUAUUCCAAUCAAUUUGGAAAGGAAGCACAGAAUUUAGCAACUGAAGAACUGAAAAUAUAAAUUUGAGGAGCUAGUACUUUGACCUUUGUGGAACUGGACUAUGUCACAAAGACAAGUAGGAGAAAAUCAUCUGAUCAAUACCUGAGGUGCAACCAACUGACGAGGCAAAAGUUCUUCAUGAUGCCUUGUGCAAAACUCCCAAGACAGUAUCUAAGGUAAUAAAGGGUUAACAAGAUAAGUAAGAUAUCAUUGUAAGCAAAAGUCACCAAUAAAUACCGGACAUUUAAUAAUAUAACCUACCAGUUUUAUAUGCAACAGCAGUUUAACUAACCUUCAAAUCAUGAGUGAAAAUAAUGCGAAGUUGACCCUCACGAACAACGCGAAGUUGCUCAUAGACACUCUCCUGAACUGCUUUUCCAUAUUCUAACAUCAUUAAUCCAGAAGAGAAUCUACUUUCAUGAGGCAAAUCUACGAACAAAAGCUCAUCGAUAACACCACUCUCAAAGUUUAUUUUAAUAAGCUGAGGAAGCACUUCAAAAAUUGCCUCUGCAUAGAAGAAAUAGAUAAAGAAAGACAUUAUAUACUCGCAGAUUAAAGAGAAUUUCAAUGAUCAUAACAACUCUAGCUAAAAUGGAACGUAAAAAGUUAAGAUCAAUGAGUCAGCCAACACAGAGUGACUGUAUGGUUAUUAAGGUGUACCACAAAUGAAGCACAUACAUACAGAUCAAAGUACAUAUGGGUAAGACCUGUUAUUUUACACCUACAAAUAAACAUUGUUAUAGGACCUGCAUAGGAAGAAUUUAGGAGUCUAGAAAAAUCAAAAUACAGAAGGCAAAUGUUGCCUGCCUGUCCAAACCACAAUUAGUAAUGCUUCUGGUCAAAGAAGUGGCCAGAAUUAGAUAUCAAUCUCAGUUUAUUGAUCAUUACAGCUGGACUAGUUAACCAAGCUGGGAGACCCUGGAGUGGUUACCUGCUGGAAGUACCUAGAAGAUGAAUGUUAGCAACCUAGCUAUUAGAGGGUGCAGCAUGGGCAUGUGAGAUAACAGCUUGUGCCCCACAUGGCCCAAUGCAUGUUGGUGGUGGCAUGCCUAAACAUAGACAAGGUGAUGUUGCUUGGAAAACAUAUUCAUGGCAGAGGUAGCGGCUGUAAAUGAUGUGCGUUGUUGGGAACUUGGCGGCAUCAUCCUUGAGGGAUCAAAGCAGGUUGAGUGGCACAAAUCACAGCAAGGUUGUGUGUGGUAGGCAGCAGGGGGUGAUGCAAGGGCACACAACAUUGCCAGCACACAUUGCAUGACUUGCUGGCAUGACAUCUAGCAAUGGCAUAGCACACUCACAUAGGUUGACAUGGUGAGUGUUCGGUGUUGGUGCUUUGAUAGGUUCCCUAAGUUGCUAGAGACCUAAGAAGAAUUUUCCAAGUAAUGGGGUAUUUUUUUAAAUUCUCUCAUUAGAGAAAAUACAUUAUACCUACAGAAGCACCCUUGAUAUCUCAUCCAAAUAGGUUGAAAAUGGUCGAAAUGCUCUUUAGGGAUGGAGUGAUAGUCUCAAUUGGGGUAACAUAAGGGUGUGGGCUAUAGCAUGGCACAGGCACACCUGAGACUGUAGUUUUAAAAGAUGCUCUUAAAGCACGCCUAGGCCUAAGGCACAACCACUACUUAGUUAUAGCACCUCCCUUGCCAAGGCAUGUGCCUUGUUGGAAAGGUAUGCCUCAUCAACAUUACUUUUCCCUUUUAAACAAUUUUAUCAUUGAAAUUUCUAAUCACAUAUUGAAAUUUACUACUUUUUUGUUGAAUGCUUUUUUGAAUAUUUGGAAUCUUAAAUUUUUUAACAAUUGGAUUAGAUUUUGGAUCAUAUUUUAUAAAAUUGAUAUGCAUCCUAUGUCAUGUUUCUCUUGACUCCGGUGCUCGUCUUAUGUUGCGCCUUGUGCCCAAGUUCUAGUAGACUUUUGUGCCUUAGGUGUGUCUUACACCUUUUAAAACUAUGCUUGAGACGCAGACUUUCCACAAACAAGUGCAAGGCUCCAUGAGGACUUUCACACACCCAAGUGCACAAUAGCUUAGGUAAGGGAUAGGAGUAUGAAACAUAGCAGAUGUGCAUUGUGUAGCUAAGACAAGACAGGUUGUUAGCAACUUGAUGCAUGGAUCGAACAUGGGCAAUGCUAUAUGUAUGAAGCUUGGGCACAACCAAAGUCAUGAGACACUAAAACACAAGAUGAAAGGCUCUCAUGCUAAGCAAGUGUUGGCUUGACAAGGCACACAUGAGUACGUGAGUGCACGCGUGCAAGACACAUGGGGCUAGUUAGCUGAGGCAUGCAAACCAAGGAGGAGAAGCAUGCAAGACAUUUGGGACUGGUUAGUUGAGAUGUGAGGAUACUUACUAAGAUGUCUAAUGCAUGGAGAUGUUACCCCUGUUCAUAAACAAACAUAGGGUAACUAUUCCAUGGAGAAGUGACUCCCUAUUCAUCAGCAGACAUGGGGGUGUGUUGCAGAGACGCAUGGGCCCCUUGGUAGUACCUGAUGGAGGGUCAAAGUGUGUGGGACACCUAGCAACACCUGAGGAGAAGUUGUGAACAAGGAGGAACUACCAAGACAUGGCAAAACAUGGGCUGGGUCUCUAAAAUGUGAGUUACUUAAAAGUAACCAAUGUCCUCUGGUUGCUUAUAAAUAUCCUAUUGUACAUGUAACAAAGAGAGAGAAAGAGAGAGAGAGAGAGAGAGAGAUAAAGUUUUUGCAUAGGCUUAUUGUUUACUUGUCAGCCUUGGUUUCUUGUAUUGUGUGAGGAAUAAUACAAGUUGGGAAGUGAUUUCCUGCCAGUUGCUUAUGUUCAUUGUGUGGAUUAGCUAAUAUGAGUCUUAGCACCAUCACAAGAAAAAAAUAUUUGUGGCAAUGAAUUCUUCUGACAAUGAACCUCUCUAACACCAAGACAAGUACAUGAAAUGUCUUUUCAUUAAAGAGAAUAAUAGCAAUAACAACCACACAAUUUAAUAAGGUGAUAACUUCUAGAGUGAAGAUACUGGACUAAAACAUGUGACUCAGAAAUCAGUCUUCAUGUUAAAACUUCAGUUUUCCUCUUCCAAGAGCAGUUCAAAAGUUAAGGGUUGAUUUAUAAAGCACUGUAGCUGAUACCAGGAUCAUCAUCCACUGGAGGCAAGACACCUCAACCAAGAUUUCCAGCUUGAACUUCCAUUUUUCUCUUAACAGGACCAGAACUUACAAUAAGAAAAUAAUAUACUGCAAAUAUGAAUGCUGGAGGCUAACAACAUAGUUUCGGUGGAUAAAUUGAACGUUUGUACAUACGCUUCUUGUUGGAUGCAGUACAUCUACCAGACAAGGGAGUCAAGCCCUUUAAUUAUGGCAAUCAAUAAUAUUCUCUAAAAUAAAUUUGAAAACAAAAUAGCUGAAAGUGCAAGUAACAACAAAAUUUGGAUAUCAUUAAUCAAUAAAACCAGACACAAUGCCGAACAUCAAUGAAAAAGAAAUAGCACUAAUGACGGAUAAGAAUACUAGAACUAGAAGACAA